rnacentral:lncRNA from 1 species
CCCUUGGUUGGUGGGCAAGAGCAAGGUGGCGAAUGCUGAUGCUGAUGAGUCUCUUUUGGUGUGAGAAGCUGAUUUCAUUGCUCUUGUGAUUCUACCAGCAUAGAGAUGAAGGAGGUUCAGUUCAUGCUAUCUACCAACCAUGUAUCUACCUAUAUUUCUACUAGUUGUUCAUGUGGUAAUCGUCUGUGUUAUUGAUCCACCUACCCCUGUCAUGUUAUUGUUAUCAAGUUAGCCGCGGAUGAACCAGUGGCCUGCGUGCAACUGAUAAUCUAGUAACUCUGUGUUAUCUACUAGUAAUGUUAUUGUCAUCUCCUGAACCAAGUAUGCUAUUCGUCUGCGAUAUGUGAUUGUCUCUGAUGUAAUGUCUGGUUGUCUCUGCCUGCUCGUUGGAUUGUUUUAGCAACACAAUUCCAUUUUUCUCCUUUCAUUUCACUUGAUGCCACAACUAUUCUUCUUCAUGUGCUGAGAAAAGUUGGCCAUGGCAAAUGCCAAUUUGUCAGUUUGUUAUGACCUUGUUUGCUAUGUAAACUUCAUCGCAAGAGAAUUCAUCCAAAACUGCUUUAAGAUAUAAACACCACAUGCCUCUGUUUUUUGGCUUCUACUUUGGUUUGUUAAGUACUCCCUCUGUCCCAAUUUUUUUGUCUUAGAUUUGUUAGAUACGGAUGUAUCUAAUACUGAAACGCUAAGGCAAGAAUUUUGGGACGGAGGGAGUACAAAAUAUCAUGUAGUUCCACAUCUUCCGUGGGUUGCUAAUCACAAAGAUGAAAUUGGAAACUCCACCUGCAUCUUGUAGGUAAUUAUCUCAUAUUCUUAGGGUAGGCAUGAACUUGUCUCUCCAGCUCAUGAUAGGAGUAGGACUCGGAUGUGAAACACAGAUGAUGGAAAUGAGUUUUUUUUAAUCAUGUUUUAUUAUCUUUCACUUUAGUGCAUGAAAAAAAGUUGGGAUGCUAUUGCUAGGGAAGUCGUGGAAUAAGUUCGCCUCCUUCACUCUAUAUAUUGGUUUAUUCACUACAAACAUUGUGUAUUUUCCCUCGCCAUAACAGGCUCUACAAUUCCUUACCGUGGUUAAAUUGAGGUACAUUUAAUGUAAAAUUUGCAAGCUCAUUUAUAUCCAUGGUGUUCUAUCUUUUCUUUUCAUUGUCUAGAGCAACAAGCGAAUGUUUAGGUUUUGAUGCCUCCACUUUUUCUGUUACUCCAAUGGAAUAUUCAAUAACCAUAGUUAUAUUCCUCAUGUUUAUUUGGUUUCAGAUCUUUCAAACAUGUUAUUCUUUAUCUGCCGGGGCUUGCAUUCUUCACUACCUAUGCUAUGCAAUGUUGACACUUUCCGGGAUGACAGCUUAUCAAGCACAUGGUGUAGAGACUGAUGGCUUGUGAUCAGAUUUCUGCACUAUUAAUGGUGUUAUUUAUGCAAUACAGGUCAAGCAAGUUCUUUACAAGUUUAUUCAGCUUAGUUAGUUUGUUUAGAUUUUUUUGUUCAAAAAGUUUGUGUACUUCUAUUAUAAUUGGUUGUGACAGAUAAUAUAACACGUAGGGCUUAAUAAUAUCUUCCCUUUUGUUGGAAAGGUAUUCAAGGCGGGUCGCAACUGCAUUUUUUAAUUCGGGGUCACAAUUGCAUGUUUUCAAGAGGGGGCGCAACUGCAUGUUUUUAAGGUAGGGUCGCAACUGCAUAUUUUCAAGAGGGGAAAAACUGCAUGUUUUCCAAGGCGGGGCCUGAACUACAUGUUUUCAAAAAGGGACUGGAACUGCAUGUUUUCAAGGUGGGUCGCAAUUGCAUGUUGUUAAGGCGGGGCCGCAACUGUAUGUUACUAAGGCGGCUCACAACUGCAUAUUUUUAAGGCAGGGUUGCAAUUGCAUGUAUUUAAGGAGGGGUCGCAACUGCAUGUUUUAAACAAGGCGGGGCCUGAACUACAUGUUUUCAAAGAGGGACUAGAACUGCAUGUUUUCAAGGUGGGUCGCAAUUGCAUGUUGUUAAGGUUGGUCAUAGUGGGAGUAACAUAGCAAGUAACAUAACACAUCCCAAAAAAAGUUUGCUUACAUGGCAUGUAUUUAAUGAGGAGAGAGAUGGUUGGAGUAACAUAAUAUGUUACUGUAACAUAACACAUCCCAAGGCAAAAUGAGUCUACAUCUUAAUAAAUGAUGGCUUGUAUGUUACUACAUGCAUGUUACUCCCCACUAUGAAGGUGAUAACAUAGACUAGUAACAUAUGCAUGUUACUAGUCUAAGUUACUUCCCACUAUGACCAGCCUAAGGCGGGGCCGCAACUGCAUGUUUUUAAGGCAGGGUUGCAAUUGCAUGUAUUUAAGGAGGGGUCGCAACUGCAUAUUUUCAAGAGGGGGCGUAACUGCAUGUUUUCAAGGUGGUCGCACUUGCAUGUUUUUAAGGCAUGGUCAUAAUUGCAUGUUUCCAAGAGCGGCUGCAACUGCAUGUUUUGAAGGCACGGUCGCAACUGCAUGUUUUUAGGGCACGGUCGCAACUGUAUGUUUUCAAGAGGGUCCAAAACUGCACGUUUUCAAGAGGGUCCAAAACUUGGGGCGCAAGUGCAUGUUUUAAGGAGGGGCCGAAACUGCAUGUUUUCAAGGUGGGUCGCAACUGAAUGUUUUUAAGAGGGGCCGCAACUCCAUGUUUUCAAGGCGGGUGGCAAAUGUAUGUUUCUAAGAGGGGUCGCAAUUGCAUGUUUUUAAGAGGGGCUGCAACUACAUGUUUUCAAGAGGAGUUGCAACUGCAUGUUUUCAAGGCAAGUUGAAACUACAUGUUUUUGGGCGGGUCGCAACUGUAUGUCUUCAGGAGGGGGUCGCAACUACAUGUUUUUAAGUUGGAGUUGCAACUGCAUGUGUUUCAAGGUGGGUCGCAACUGCAUGUUUUCAAGAGGGCUGCAACUGCAUGUUUUCAAGGUAGGUUGAAACUGCAUGUUUUUAGGCGGGUCACAACUGCAUGCCUACAAGAGGAGGUCUCAAAUAAAUGUUUUUAAGUCGGAGUCGCAACUGCAUGUUUUCAAGAGGGGGCACAACCGCAUGUUUUCAAGGUGGGUCACAACUGCAUGGUUUUCAAGAGGGGUUGAAAUGUUAAGUUUUAAAUGGGGUCACAACUGCAUGUUUUCAAGGCAUGUCUCAACUGCAUGUGUUUCAAGGGUGUCGCGACUGCAUGCUUUCAUGGGAGGGUUGCGACUACAUGCUUCUCUACGGGUCGCCACUGGAUGCUUUCAUAUGAGGGUUGCGACUACAUGUUUCUCUAGGGGAUUGCCACUGCAUGAGGAUCGCAGCUGCAAGUUUUAAAAUCGGUCGUGACUGGAUGUUUUUGAAGGAGGUCGCAAUAUUUUGAGGGGGUGGGGUCGCAACCUUAAGUUAUUUUUUUAGCCAAUUGCGACUGUGAUAAACAUUUCUUAAAUUCAUGAAUGUUUUUUCAAACUCACAAUAUUUUCCCAAUUUUUUUUAAUUUCAUGAGCAUUUUUAAAAUUAUCCUUUUAAAAAACUCCAGUUUUUUUAGUUCAUGAAUAUAUUUUUGAUGAAUAAAUUAAUGGACAUUUUUCCCAAAAAAUCGUGAUUAAAAAAGAACACAAUUUGAACAUUUCAUUUUGAAAUUUUGAAUUUCUUGUUGUCAAUUUCAAUAUGAAUUUGCAAGUGCGCUCUAUGUGCUCUCCACACACACACACACACACACACACGACCCUACUCCAGUAUUUCCCCACAGAAAAACACCAUAUUGUUUUUUGCAUCAGUGUUAGUGAACGAAAGAAAGCUGGACCUAGUUACAAAAAAAAAAGAACUGCAACGAGGCCCAAACUAGAGAACCCACGAGACAAGACAAUGGACAUUGACCAACCAAAAAUAAAAGGCCAGAUCGAAGGAAACGAGCGGGUUGCCGAGCGGCCAAAAAAAAUCCUGUUUAAAUGAGAAAAUAUGUCAGGUGACGUCAGGUGACUGAGACGUAACUAUGUCUCAGCCGGCUGAGUUCCAGGCGAUCCCUUUUUUUUAUUCUAAUAGUAACAGACUUUUCAUGCCUACUUAGGUUUAAUCGGUAUUCUUAGUCAUGAUUCAGUUAUAUGAUGUCUUGCUUAUCUGAACUGUCAUAUCUAUUUAGAAGUAUUAGUAACUGCCUACUUAAGAUUUUUUUUCUUCAUAUUUUUUUNNNNNNNNNNNNNNNNNNNNNNNNNNNNNNNNNNNNNNNNNNNNNNNNNNNNNNNNNNNNNNNNNNNNNNNNNNNNNNNNNNNNNNNNNNNNNNNNNNNNNNNNNNNNNNNNNNNNNNNNNNNNNNNNNNNNNNNNNNNNNNNNNNNNNNNNNNNNNNNNNNNNNNNNNNNNNNNNNNNNNNNNNNNNNNNNNNNNNNNNNNNNNNNNNNNNNNNNNNNNNNNNNNNNNNNNNNNNNNNNNNNNNNNNNNNNNNNNNNNNNNNNNNNNNNNNNNNNNNNNNNNNNNNNNNNNNNNNNNNNNNNNNNNNNNNNNNNNNNNNNNNNNNNNNNNNNNNNNNNNNNNNNNNNNNNNNNNNNNNNNNNNNNNNNNNNNNNNNNNNNNNNNNNNNNNNNNNNNNNNNNNNNNNNNNNNNNNNNNNNNNNNNNNNNNNNNNNNNNNNNNNNNNNNNNNNNNNNNNNNNNNNNNNNNNNNNNNNNNNNNNNNNNNNNNNNNNNNNNNNNNNNNNNNNNNNNNNNNNNNGCAACUGCAUGUUUUCAAGAGGGGGCACAACCGCAUGUUUUCAAGGUGGGUCACAACUGCAUGGUUUUCAAGAGGGGUUGAAAUGUUAAGUUUUAAAUGGGGUCACAACUGCAUGUUUUCAAGGCAUGUCUCAACUGCAUGUGUUUCAAGGGUGUCGCGACUGCAUGCUUUCAUGGGAGGGUUGCGACUACAUGCUUCUCUACGGGUCGCCACUGGAUGCUUUCAUAUGAGGGUUGCGACUACAUGUUUCUCUAGGGGAUUGCCACUGCAUGAGGAUCGCAGCUGCAAGUUUUAAAAUCGGUCGUGACUGGAUGUUUUUGAAGGAGGUCGCAAUAUUUUGAGGGGGUGGGGUCGCAACCUUAAGUUAUUUUUUAGCCAAUUGCGACUGUGAUAAACAUUUCUUAAAUUCAUGAAUGUUUUUUCAAACUCACAAUAUUUUCCCAAUUUUUUUUAAUUUCAUGAGCAUUUUUAAAAUUAUCCUUUUAAAAAACUCCAGUUUUUUUAGUUCAUGAAUAUAUUUUUGAUGAAUAAAUUAAUGGACAUUUUUCCCAAAAAAUCGUGAUUAAAAAAGAACACAAUUUGAACAUUUCAUUUUGAAAUUUUGAAUUUCUUGUUGUCAAUUUCAAUAUGAAUUUGCAAGUGCGCUCUAUGUGCUCUCCACACACACACACACACACACACGACCCUACUCCAGUAUUUCCCCACAGAAAAACACCAUAUUGUUUUUUGCAUCAGUGUUAGUGAACGAAAGAAAGCUGGACCUAGUUACAAAAAAAAAAGAACUGCAACGAGGCCCAAACUAGAGAACCCACGAGACAAGACAAUGGACAUUGACCAACCAAAAAUAAAAGGCCAGAUCGAAGGAAACGAGCGGGUUGCCGAGCGGCCAAAAAAAAUCCUGUUUAAAUGAGAAAAUAUGUCAGGUGACGUCAGGUGACUGAGACGUAACUAUGUCUCAGCCGGCUGAGUUCCAGGCGAUCCCUUUUUUUUAUUCUAAUAGUAACAGACUUUUCAUGCCUACUUAGGUUUAAUCGGUAUUCUUAGUCAUGAUUCAGUUAUAUGAUGUCUUGCUUAUCUGAACUGUCAUAUCUAUUUAGAAGUAUUAGUAACUGCCUACUUAAGAUUUUUUUUCUUCAUAUUUUUUUGCCACAUGAUGACAACAACAAAAACAACAACAAAGCCUUUAGUCCCAAAUAAGUUGGAGUAGGCUAGAGGUAAAACCCAUAAGAUCUUGCGACUAAUUCAUGGCUCUGGCACAUGGAUAGCAAGCUUCCACGCAUCCCUGUCCAUAGCUAGUUCUUUGGUGAUACUUCAAUCCUUCAGGUCUCUCUUAACGGACUCCUCCUAUGAAAAACACAUGCUCUACAAAGCCUUAUUUUGCCGAAGAUAUUGUAAAAUUGUCUUGCAUGUGCAUUGUCAGUGUCCUUUGUGAAAAGGGACCAACCUUAGUUGUGUUCUGGAUUUUCUGGUGCCUCUUUUGUCAAAGUUUGCAGAUGUCCAGGGAUAGGUAGUAACAAGCUAUUCAGCUGGACAUGAAUUGAGCAUAUAAAUGAUGAAAGGGUGGCAGCCAUUCUUAGGCCAUCCACGUCGAUUAUGAAUAGUGACCGAGCGGGCAGUGGGAAGCUACGAGAGAAAAAGGUUAGCGACCACAGCGAGAAAACGCGGGCAGAGAGGCAAUGCCCCCUCCUCCUCCAUCCGCCGCCACCUCCCCCAAAUUCAUCCGCCGCCAAUCCCCUCCCCUCCCGUGCACCCGCGAUGGCGACCGAGGAUCCCGAGCCCCAGCCCCAAAACCCUAGCCGCCGGGGGGCUGGUCUGGGCCAAGACCAAGGGCCGCCACCAGUGGUGGCCCACUCGCCUCCNNNNNNNNNNCUCCCCUCCCCUGAAUCCUCCCUCGUCUCCUCCCCUCGCCGUCGCUGUCAAGCCCUUCCUCAUCGCCCCUAACGCCGACGCCCUCGCAAGGCCAACACCGGCCUCGCCGCUGUCACCCACGCCAGGGCCACAGCCGUCGGGAUCCUCUGCGACGCCCUCACCUGCCCCUGCGCGCGCGACCCCCACUCUCCUCCUCCGAUCGAUGAAUCCGCAGAGUCGGCCGCCGCCGCCAACAAAGUCAUCAUCACCGGCGUUGCCAGCCUAAAUCCCCACGAGUUCCUUGCUGCCCUCGACAGCGCGUCCGUCGACGCCCCUGCCGUCGGCCUACUAGACCGCGCCCGGCUCGAGAGCUAGGUCCGGGCGCUCGCCCAGGGAUGGGGCCCGCCCCGGCCGCUACCAGCGCUGACAAGAUUGACCUCGACAUGUUGGCCGACAACGGUGCAGCCUCGGAAGAGGAGGAGAAGAAGAAAGAGAGGGUGAGAAGAGAUCGAUCGACCCCUUCAUCAUGUGAAGCUCGCUGCUCUGGGAGGUACGUUCUUACUUGCUCCGCUUGUGUUUGACGAAAUGUGUGUGAGCUGACAUGCUUUUGUUUCUUGUUUUCUUCCUUCCUCGGCUAUAAGCUUGCCGGCCUAUUUAAUCACCCAACAGUAUGGUUGGCGUGGUUGGCAGCCUUGUCUGAGGUGAUGUGGAUCUCCUGAUUUUGAGUUGCUGAACAGGACAUUUACUAUCGUGUCAUCGGCUUCCCCGCUGUUGCGCCGACGCUUGUUCUUGUUGUGCCAUGAUUUCCCAUUUCCAUCCCAGACCUCUGAGGUGACGGGGUCGUCCGGAUGGUUGCUUCUAUGAGCUAACCAGCUGUCUUCGCCCACGCAAAAGCGGGGUCAUGAGAGAGGUGAGGGCCGACAUUGUUCUCGGCUUGUAAUGGCCGAGUUGGCGAGCGAGCCAUUCGUCCUGAAUGAUGUGCUUGAAAGAGGCUUAUUGCCUCAUCAUCCGGACAAUCGACGAUCUUGUUUUCUUGGUCAAGAACCGAUUCCAAAAUUGUCGGGCUGACUCCCAGGGCUGCUGAACAACAUGGCUCAAGUCAUUGGCAUCCAGAGGCCGAACAUAGGUGCCUUGAAAGUUAGCUCGGAAGGUGUCCGCGAGUUCUUCUCAGCUCCCAAUGGAGUUUUCGGGGAGGCUGUUUAACCACUGCCUUGCCGGUCCUUUAAGCUUUAGUGGCGAAUAUUUAAUGGCGUGGAGGUUGUCUCUUCAGGCCAUAUGAAUGUGGAGUAGGAAAUCUUCGAUCCACAUGGCCGGGUUUGUUGUCCUAUCGUACUGCUCGAUGUUUACGGGUUAAACCCCUCGGGGAACUGAUGUUGUAUCACCUUGUCUGUAAAACACAUUGGGUGUGUGGCGCCCCUGACCUGGGCCACGUCGUGCCAAAGAUCAGUUGUCAUCCUAGCACGGUGCUGCUCCCAGGCUAUACCAUUUCUAUCGCGUCAGGCUUGGUAUCCAUCCUGUCCAGCGGGCGUGUGUCCUCUAGAUCCGUAAAUGGAUCCUGUUUGUGCCGCCUUGGCGGUUAAGUUGAGUCGUAGGUCAUAUGGAUCCUCUGGCUGUAUUUGUUCCUUGCCCUUCCAGCGAGGGAGCGCGGGUGGGUUUUCAGCUUCUCUAGACGGCCUGUCCCGUCUUCGAGGGGGCGGUCGGGCUGGUUUGUCUGAGUGCGUCUAGGGAGUGUGGGCUCAAGGGCCUCUUCUUCGAAUUGCGGGAGUAGACACUGUUGUGGGUAGCUUUUGUUUUGAUCCUGCCCCUGAUAGUCAAAGCCCUCUUCGGCUGCUAAGACCCUUGUCCACCUAUCGUUGAGGGUAUCCUGUUCUGCUUUUAACUACUGCUUCUUCUUAUUCAGGCUUCAGACAGUGGCUAUGAGCUACCGCUUGAACCGCUCCUAAUCCAGAGGGUCCUCGGGGAUGAUGAAAUCCCUGGGUUCGAGGCUAUCCUCCUCUUCGGAAGGAGGGAUGUAGUUGAUGUCAUAGGAAUUGUUGGGGUUCUCGGGGUCGCCCUGAUCCUCAUGGCCUUUAGGAGCGACGCCAUGCUGUUUGGGGGUGGUGUUGUCGCUGAGCUCCUCCAUGUUGUCUGGAGUAGCAUCAUCUCUGGUGCCGAUUGUGUGUGUGUGUUCAAGUUGUCUUCCCUGCCCCUUCCAUGUCCUUUGGAUCACCUGCGUUAGCGUCGGUGUUAGGAUGACUCCUCACCGGGGUCAUCGCCAUCCUCCUUGGGGGUGUCAACCAUGUAGACGUUGUAAGUGGAAGAGGUAGUCUACUUUCCCUUGUUGGGAGUGGUCGGGGAGGGAGCCGUAUGGGUCAUGACGUCGAUAUCCUUGUCCAUGCUAUCAGCCUCCUCGGAGGUGUAGUCUACCAUGUCGGUUAAGUCGUCAACAGUGGCUACUAAGUGGGUGGUGGGUGGGACGUAAAAUUCCCUGUGUCUGGCCUCAAGUCUGACCUAAUCAUAGACCGAGGAUGGGCCUGAUGUCUACUACACAACCUUCUUCUUGUAGACGUUGUUGGGCCUGCAAGUGCACAGGUUUGUAGGACAGUAGAAAAUUUCCUUCAAGUGGAUGACCUAAGGUUUAUCAAUCAGUAGGAGGCGUAGGAUGAAGAUGGUCUCUCUCAAACAACCCUGCAACCAAAUAACAAAAAGUCUCUUGUGUCCCCAACACACCCAAUACAAUGGAAAAUUGUAUAGGUGCACUAGUUCGGCGAAGAGAUGGUGAUACAAGUGCAAAAUAGAUAGUAGAUAUAGGUUUUUGUAAUCUGAAAAUAUAAAAACAGCAAGGUAACAAGUGGUAAAAGUGAGCGUAAACGGUAUUGCAAUGAUAGAAACAAGGCCUAGGGUUCAUACUUUCACUAGUGCAAGUUCUCUCAACAAUAAUAACAUAGAUAGAUAAUAUGACAAGCCCUCAACAUGCAACAAAGAGUCACUCCAAAGCCACUAAUAGCGGAGAACAAACAUAGAGAUUAUGGUAGGGUACAAAACCACCUCAAAGUUAUUCUUUCGGAUCAAUCUAUAAAAGAGUUCGUACUAGAAUAACACCUUAAGAUACAAAUCAACCAAAACCCUAAUGUCACCUAGAUACUCCAUUGUCACCUCAAGUAUCCGUUGGCAUGAUUAUACGAUAUGCAUCACACAAUCUCAGAUUCAUCCAACCAACAUAAAAGUACUUCAAAGAAUGCCCCAAAGUUUCUACCGGAGAGUCAAGAACGUGUGCCAACCCCUAUGCAUAGGUUCCCAAUGUCACGAAACCCGCAAGUUGAUCACCAAAACAUACAUCAAGUGGCACAUGAUAUCCCAUUGUCACCACAGAUAAUCACGGCAAGACAUACAUCAAGUGUUCUCUUAAAAGACUCAAUCCGAUAAGAUAACUUCAAAGGGGAAACUCAAUUCAUCACAAGAGAGUAGUGGGGGAGAAACAUCAUAAGAUCCAACUACAAUAGCAAAGCUCGGGAUACAUCAAGAUCGUGCCAUAGAGGGAACACGAGAGAGAGAUCAAACACAUAGCUACUGGUACAUACCCUCAGCCCCGAGGAUGAACUACUCCCUCCUCGUCAUGGAUAGCACCGGGAUGAUGAAGAUGGCCACCGGUGAUGGGACCCCCUCCGGCAGGGUGCCGGAAUGGGCUCCCGAGAGGUUUUUGGUGGCUACAGAGGCUUGCGGCGGCGGAACUCCCGAUCUAUCUUCUGUUCUGGAAGUUUUAGGGUACGUAGGUAUAUAUGGGUGCAGGGGGUUCAUCGGUGGACCUCCGGGGUGCUCACGAGGUUGGGGGGGCGCGCCCAGGGGGGCGCUCCCCCACCCUCAUGGGCAGCCCGGGACUCCCCUGACGUGCCCUCCAAGCCCAUCAGGUUGGUUUCCUUCCAAAAUUAACUUCUCCAGUUGAUUUCGUUCCGUUUUGACUCCGUCUGAUAUUCCUUUUCCUCGAAACACUGAAAUAGGCAUAAAACAACAAAUCUGGGCUGGGCCUCCGGUUAAUAGGUUAGUCCCAAAAAUAAUAUAAAAGUGGAUAAUAAAGCCCAAUAUUGCCUAAAACAGUAGAUAAAGUAGCAUGGAGCAAUCAAAAAUUAUAGAUACGUUGGAGACGUAUCAAGCAUCCCCAAGCUUAAUUCCUGCUCAUCCUCGAGUAGGCAAAUGAUAAAAAGGAAUUUUUGAUGUGGAGUGAUACUUUGGCAUAAUUUCAAUGUAAAUCUUCUUAAUUGUGAUAUGAAUAUUCAGAUCCGAAAGAUUCAAGACAAAAGUUCAUAUUGACACAAAAAUAAUAAUACUUCAAGCAUACUAAUAAAGCAAUCAUGUCUUCUCAAAAUCACAUGGCAAAAUAAAGUUCAUCCCNNNNNNNNNNNNNNNNNNNNNNNNNNNNNNNNNNNNNNNNNNNNNNNNNNNNNNNNNNNNNNNNNNNNNNNNNNNNNNNNNNNNNNNNNNNNNNNNNNNNNNNNNNNNNNNNNNNNNNNNNNNNNNNNNNNNNNNNNNNNNNNNNNNNNNNNNNNNNNNNNNNNNNNNNNNNNNNNNNNNNNNNNNNNNNNNNNNNNNNNNNNNNNNNNNNNNNNNNNNNNNNNNNNNNNNNNNNNNNNNNNNNNNNNNNNNNNNNNNNNNNNNNNNNNNNNNNNNNNNNNNNNNNNNNNNNNNNNNNNNNNNNNNNNNNNNNNNNNNNNNNNNNNNNNNNNNNNNNNNNNNNNNNNNNNNNNNNNNNNNNNNNNNNNNNNNNNNNNNNNNNNNNNNNNNNNNNNNNNNNNNNNNNNNNNNNNNNNNNNNNNNNNNNNNNNNNNNNNNNNNNNNNNNNNNNNNNNNNNNNNNNNNNNNNNNNNNNNNNNNNNNNNNNNNNNNNNNNNNNNNNNNNNNNNNNNNNNNNNNNNNNNNNNNNNNNNNNNNNNNNNNNNNNNNNNNNNNNNNNNNNNNNNNNNNNNNNNNNNNNNNNNNNNNNNNNNNNNNNNNNNNNNNNNNNNNNNNNNNNNNNNNNNNNNNNNNNNNNNNNNNNNNNNNNNNNNNNNNNNNNNNNNNNNNNNNNNNNNNNNNNNNNNNNNNNNNNNNNNNNNNNNNNNNNNNNNNNNNNNNNNNNNNNNNNNNNNNNNNNNNNNNNNNNNNNNNNNNNNNNNNNNNNNNNNNNNNNNNNNNNNNNNNNNNNNNNNNNNNNNNNNNNNNNNNNNNNNNNNNNNNNNNNNNNNNNNNNNNNNNNNNNNNNNNNNNNNNNNNNNNNNNNNNNNNNNNNNNNNNNNNNNNNNNNNNNNNNNNNNNNNNNNNNNNNNNNNNNNNNNNNNNNNNNNNNNNNNNNNNNNNNNNNNNNNNNNNNNNNNNNNNNNNNNNNNNNNNNNNNNNNNNNNNNNNNNNNNNNNNNNNNNNNNNNNNNNNNNNNNNNNNNNNNNNNNNNNNNNNNNNNNNNNNNNNNNNNNNNNNNNNNNNNNNNNNNNNNNNNNNNNNNNNNNNNNNNNNNNNNNNNNNNNNNNNNNNNNNNNNNNNNNNNNNNNNNNNNNNNNNNNNNNNNNNNNNNNNNNNNNNNNNNNNNNNNNNNNNNNNNNNNNNNNNNNNNNNNNNNNNNNNNNNNNNNNNNNNNNNNNNNNNNNNNNNNNNNNNNNNNNNNNNNNNNNNNNNNNNNNNNNNNNNNNNNNNNNNNNNNNNNNNNNNNNNNNNNNNNNNNNNNNNNNNNNNNNNNNNNNNNNNNNNNNNNNNNNNNNNNNNNNNNNNNNNNNNNNNNNNNNNNNNNNNNNNNNNNNNNNNNNNNNNNNNNNNNNNNNNNNNNNNNNNNNNNNNNNNNNNNNNNNNNNNNNNNNNNNNNNNNNNNNNNNNNNNNNNNNNNNNNNNNNNNNNNNNNNNNNNNNNNNNNNNNNNNNNNNNNNNNNNNNNNNNNNNNNNNNNNNNNNNNNNNNNNNNNNNNNNNNNNNNNNNNNNNNNNNNNNNNNNNNNNNNNNNNNNNNNNNNNNNNNNNNNNNNNNNNNNNNNNNNNNNNNNNNNNNNNNNNNNNNNNNNNNNNNNNNNNNNNNNNNNNNNNNNNNNNNNNNNNNNNNNNNNNNNNNNNNNNNNNNNNNNNNNNNNNNNNNNNNNNNNNNNNNNNNNNNNNNNNNNNNNNNNNNNNNNNNNNNNNNNNNNNNNNNNNNNNNNNNNNNNNNNNNNNNNNNNNNNNNNNNNNNNNNNNNNNNNNNNNNNNNNNNNNNNNNNNNNNNNNNNNNNNNNNNNNNNNNNNNNNNNNNNNNNNNNNNNNNNNNNNNNNNNNNNNNNNNNNNNNNNNNNNNNNNNNNNNNNNNNNNNNNNNNNNNNNNNNNNNNNNNNNNNNNNNNNNNNNNNNNNNNNNNNNNNNNNNNNNNNNNNNNNNNNNNNNNNNNNNNNNNNNNNNNNNNNNNNNNNNNNNNNNNNNNNNNNNNNNNNNNNNNNNNNNNNNNNNNNNNNNNNNNNNNNNNNNNNNNNNNNNNNNNNNNNNNNNNNNNNNNNNNNNNNNNNNNNNNNNNNNNNNNNNNNNNNNNNNNNNNNNNNNNNNNNNNNNNNNNNNNNNNNNNNNNNNNNNNNNNNNNNNNNNNNNNNNNNNNNNNNNNNNNNNNNNNNNNNNNNNNNNNNNNNNNNNNNNNNNNNNNNNNNNNNNNNNNNNNNNNNNNNNNNNNNNNNNNNNNNNNNNNNNNNNNNNNNNNNNNNNNNNNNNNNNNNNNNNNNNNNNNNNNNNNNNNNNNNNNNNNNNNNNNNNNNNNNNNNNNNNNNNNNNNNNNNNNNNNNNNNNNNNNNNNNNNNNNNNNNNNNNNNNNNNNNNNNNNNNNNNNNNNNNNNNNNNNNNNNNNNNNNNNNNNNNNNNNNNNNNNNNNNNNNNNNNNNNNNNNNNNNNNNNNNNNNNNNNNNNNNNNNNNNNNNNNNNNNNNNNNNNNNNNNNNNNNNNNNNNNNNNNNNNNNNNNNNNNNNNNNNNNNNNNNNNNNNNNNNNNNNNNNNNNNNNNNNNNNNNNNNNNNNNNNNNNNNNNNUCUAUAUGAAUGCCUCCGGCAGUGUACCGGGAUGGUGCAAUGAAUCAAGAGUGACAUGUAUGAAAAAUAAUGCAUGGUGGCUUUGCCACAAAUACGAUGUCAACUACAUGAUCAUGCAAUGGCAAUAUGACAAAAGUAAUGUAUGUCAUGAUGAUUGUGGUGGAAGUUGCAUGGCAGUAUAUCUCAGAAUGGCUAUGGAAAUGCCAUGGUAGGUAGGUAUGGUGGCUGUUUUGAGAAAGAUAUAAGGAGGUUUAUGUGUGAUAGAGCGUAUCGUAUCACGGGGUUUGGAUGCACCGGCGAAGUUUGCACCAACUCUCAAGGUGAGAAAGGGCAAUGCACGGUACCGAAGAGGCUAGCAAAGGUGGAAAGGUAAAAGUGCGUAUAAUCCAUGGACUCAACAUUAGUCAAAAGAACUCAUAUACUUAUUGCAAAAAUUUAAAAGUCAUCAAAAACCAAGUACACCGCGCAUGCUCCUAGGGGGAUAGAUUGGUAGGAAAAGACCAUCGCUCGUCCCCGACCGCCACUCAUAAGGAUGCACAAGCCAGGUACACUUCAUGUUUCAAAUUUGUUACACAACUUUAACCAUACGUGCAUGCUACGGGACUUGCUGACUUCAACAAAAGCAUUUCUCAAAUUCACAAUUACUCAACUAGCACAACUUUGAUAUUAUCACCUCCAUAUCUCAAAACAAUUAUCAAGCAUCAAACUUAUCUUAGUAUUCAAUUCACUCAAAAGAAAGUUUCACAUAUCUUGAAUACCAAGUAUAUUAACAUUAAGCAAAUUACCAUGCUAUUUAAGACUCUCAAAAUAAUAUAAGUGAAGUAUGAGAGUUCAUCUAUUUCUUCAAAAUAAAACUACCACCAUGCUCUAAAAGAUAUAAGUGAAGCACUAGAGCAAAUGACAAACUACUCCGAAAGAUAUAAGUGAAGAUCAAUGAGCAACUAUGCGAAGACUCUCUCUCAUUAAAGAAUUUCAGAUCUUGAUACUUUAUUCAAACAGCAAGCAAAGCUAAAGAAAAUGACAUGACGCUCCAAGCAAAACACAUAUCAUGUGGUGAAUAAAAAUAUAGCUCCAAGUAAAGUUACCGAUGAACGAAGACGAAAGAGGGGAUGCCUUCCGGGGAAUCCCCAAGCUUAGGCUCUUGGUUGUCCUUGAAUAUUAUCUUGGGGUUCCUUGGGCAUCCCCAAGCUUAGGCUCUUGCCACUACUUAUUCCAUAGUCCAUCGAGUCUUUACCCAAAACUUGAAAACUCCACAACACAAAACUCAACAGAAAACUCGUAAGCUAUGUUAGUAUAAGAAAAUAAAACAACCACUUAGGUACUGUAAUGAACUCAUUCUAAAUUCAUAUUGGUGUAAUAUCUACUGUACUCCAACUUAUCUAGGGUUCAUACAAUACAAUACUACUCAUAGAUUCAUCAAAAUAAGCAAACAACACAUAGAAAACAGAAUCUGUCAAAAACAUAACAGUCUGUAGUAAUCUGUAUCAAACGUAUACUUAUGGAACUCCAAAAAUUAUAAUAAAUUAGGAAGUCCUAAGAAAUUCGUGUACCAAUCCAGAGCAAAAAGAAUCAGAUCAGAAGCACGUUCGUGUGAAUUAACAAAACUACUUUACUGGGUGCAAAAGUUUCUGAUUUUCAGCAGGAUCAACACAACUAUCACCGUAAGCUAUCCUAAAGGUCUUACUUGGCACUUUAUUGAAACAAAAGCUAUAAAACAUGAUUACUACAGUAGCAUAAUCAUGUGGACACACAAAAACAGGAAGGAUAAAUAUUGGGUUGUCUCCCAACAAGCGCUUUUCUUUAAUGCCUUUCUAGCUAGGCAUGAUGAUGACAAUGAUGCUCACAUAAAAGAUAAGAAUUGAAACAUAACGGGAGCAUCAUGAAGCAUAUGACUAGCACAUUUAAGUCUAACCCACUUCCUAUGCAUAGGGAUUUUGUGAGCAAACAACUUAUGGGAACAAUAAUCAACUUGCAUAGGAAGGUAAAACAAGCAUAACUUCAAGAUUUUAAGCACAUAGAGAGGAAACCUGAUAUUAUUGCAACUCCUACAAGCAUAUGUUCCUCCCUCAUAAUAAUGUUCAGUAGCAUCAUGAAUGAAUUCAACAAUAUAACCAGCACCUAAAGCAUUCUUUUCAUGAUCUACAAACAUAGAAAAUUUACUACUCUCCACAUAAGCAAAAUUCUUCUCAUUCGGAAUAGUGGGAGUAUCAUAAGAGACUUGAACACUAAAAAUUGUUUCUACAUUAAAAGAGUAAUGUUCAGAAAAAGGGUAAUCAUAAUCAUGACAAGAUUUGUAAAUAUAAUCAUCACUACUUUUUAUAGCAUAAGUUUCAUCACAAUAAUCAUCAUAAGUAGCAACUUCGUUCUCAUCAUAAUCGAUUGAAACCUCUCCCAAGAUAGUGGAAUCACUAAAUAAAGUUGACACUCUUCCAAAUCCACUUUCAUAUUCAUCACAAUAAAAUUCAACAUCCUCCAAAAUAGUGGGAUCACUACUUCCUAAAGUUGACUCUCUUCCGAACCCACUUUCAUCGAUAUAAUCAUCAUAGGUAGGAGGCAUGCUAUCAUCAUAACAACUUUGCAUAUCAAAACUUGGGAUGCUAAAAAUAUCAUCUUCAUUAAACAUAGCACCCCCAAGCUUGGGACAAACAUUAAUUCCAGCAAAUAUAUUCUCAAAUAUUUCAUCCCAAUCAAACAUAGCUUCCCCAAGCUUGGGCCCUUUCAUAUCAUAAGCAUAAUCACUCUCAUCAUUAAAAAUAUUGAUAGCACCAAUAGUAUAGCAAUUAUCAUCAUCACAAUGAGUAGUAGGAGCAACAUCAUUUGGGAGGGAUACCUUUUUACCUUUGUUGCUCCUUGUUUUCUUUUUCUUCUUCACAUUAUGUGUAGGUUCAACCUUCCUCUUUGAGCUCCUUAUUGAUGAGAUUGGUUGAAUAGAAAGCUCCUCCUCGUUACCUGAUUCAUCAUAAGAAAUAAUAGGAGGAGAUUGGGAAGUCUCUUCCCUUUCAUUAGUAUUCUCAUCAUCCUCUAUUUGUUUUCUUUUCUUUAUGUAAUUGGCAAUAUAAGGAUUUUCAAUGCAAUUCUCCGCACAAUACAUAUAAAUUUUCUCUAGAUCAAAAUGAAGAACUUUAUCAAGAUUAAAUUUUGGAAUACCCUCAGUUAUACGUUUCAUUUCUUCAUAACCCAAAAGAAGGCUAAGAUCUUUAUGAUGCUCAAGGGUAAUCAAAUUAUCACAAUAUUUGGAAAUGACUUGAUCAUGAAACAAAUAGCAUUGGAGCUUUAAAUGACCAUGUUCAUUGCAAAGUUCACAAGGGGCGCGAAAAAUAUUGAAUCUUUCAGCACAUUCAUCUAGCUCUUCUUGCAACAAUUUGGUUUCUAAGUACUUAUGCCUCUUGCAAUAAAUAUCUUCUCUAUUUGGUGUGUUCAUGCAAACAUGCACUCCACAAAAGUUGACAUGCUCAUAAGAGAUAUUUUCAUCAUAACUAGUGCAAUCAUCAUUAGCAUCAUGGAUAUUCAAAGAAUUCGUACUAAGAACAUUGCAAUCAUGCUCAUCAUUCAAAGAUUUAGUGCCAAACAAUUUAUAGAUUUCUUCUUCUAGCACUUGAGCACAAUUAUCCUUUCCAUCAUACUCACCAAAGAUAUUAAAAAGGUGAAGCGUAUGAGACAAACUUAACUCCAUUUUUUUGUAGUUUUCUUUUAUAAACUAAACUAGUGAUAAAACAAGAAACAAAAAGAUUCGAUUGCAAGAUCUAAAGAUAUACCUUCAAGCACUCACCUCCCCGGCAACGACGCCAGAAAAGAGCUUAGUUGACGGGGUGUGAGUGAGUGCCCUUUACCUAGCCUCCCCGACAAUGGCGCCAGAAAAGAGCUUGAUGUCUACUACACAACCUUCUUCUUGUAGACGUUGUUGGGCCUGCAAGUGCACAGGUUUGUAGGAUAGUAGCAAAUUUCCCUCAAGUGGAUGACCUAAGGUUUAUCAAUCCGUGGGAGGUGUAGGAUGAAGAUGGUCUCUCUCAAACAACCCUGCAACCAAAUAACAAAAAGUCUCUUGUGUCCCCAACACACCCAAUACAAUGGAAAAUUGUAUAGGUGCACUAGUUCGGCGAAGAGAUGGUGAUACAAGUGCAAAAUAGAUAGUAGAUAUAGGUUUUUGUAAUCUGAAAAUAUAAAAACAGGAAGGUAACAAGUGGUAAAAGUGAGCGUAAACGGUAUUGCAAUGAUAGGAAACAAGGCCUAGGGUUCAUACUUUCACUAGUGCAAGUUCUCUCAACAAUAAUAACAUAGAUAGAUAAUAUGACAAGCCCUCAACAUGCAACAAAGAGUCACUCCAAAGCCACUAAUAGCGGAGAACAAAUGUAGAGAUUAUGGUAGGGUACGAAACCACCUCAAAGUUAUUCUUUCGGAUCAAUCUAUAAAAGAGUUCGUACUAGAAUAACACCUUAAGAUACAAAUCAACCAAAACCCUAAUGUCACCUAGAUACUCUAUUGUCACCUCAAGUAUCCGUGGGCAUGAUUAUACGAUAUGCAUCACACAAUCUCAGAUUCAUCAACCAACAUAAAAGUACUUCAAAGAAUGCCCCAAAGUUUCUACCGGAGAGUCAAGAAUGUGUGCCAACCCCUAUGCAUAGGUUCCCAAUGUCACGAAACCCGCAAGUUGAUCACCAAAACAUACAUCAAGUGGCACAUGAUAUCCCAUUGUCACCACAGAUAAUCACGGCAAGACAUACAUCAAGUGUUCUCAUAAAAGACUCAAUCCGAUAAGAUAACUUCAAAGGGGAAACUCAAUUCAUCACAAGAGGGUAGAGGGGGAGAAACAUCAUACGAUCCAACUACAAUAGCAAUGCUCGAGAUACAUCAAGAUCGUGCCAUAGAGGGAACACGAGAGAGAACACGAGAGAGAGAGAGAUCAAACACAUAGCUACUGGUACAUACCCUCAGCCCCGAGGGUGAACUACUCCCUCCUCGUCAUGGAUAGCGCCGGGAUGAUGAAGAUGGCCACCGGUGAUGGGAUCCCCCUCCGGCAGGGUGCCGGAACGGGCUCCUGAGAGGUUUUUGGUGGCUACAGAGGCUUGCGGCGGCGGAACUCCCGAUCUAUCUUCUAUUCUAGAAGUUUUAGGGUACGUAGGUAUAUAUGGGUGUAGGGGGUAUGUCGGUGGAACUCCGGGGUGCUCACGAGGUAGGGGGCACGCCCAGGGGGGCGCGCCCCACACCCUCAUGGGCAGCCCGGGACUCCCCUGACGUGCACUCCAAGCCCAUCAGGUUGGUUUCCUUCCAAAAUUAACUUCUCCAGUUGAUUUUGUUCUGUUUUGACUUCGUCUGAUAUUCCUUUUCCUCGAAACACUAAAAUAGGCAUAAAACAGCAAAUCUGGGCUGGGCCUCUGGUUAAUAGGUUAGUCCCAAAAAUAAUAUAAAAGUGGAUAAUAAAGCCCAAUAUUGCCUAAAACAGUAGAUAAAGUAGCAUGGAGCAAUCAAAAAUUAUAGAUACGUUGGAGACGUAUCAGGGCCAUCCAUGAUGCUUAUCAUCUGGAUCUGAUCUAACGUCUCAUACAACAGCGAGAAGUCAGUCGGAUUCAUCUUCUGACGUCUUUUGGAGUUAACCCCUGCUAUGCCAGCAUAGGGGGUGCAUUCGGCCAGGGCUGACUCCUGGUCCUCGGAUGCUGAAACUGGAUCCGAGCUCAAAGCUAGAUCCGGGAUUGAGGCCGACCCAGAGAUGGGGUCGGGAAGAAGGUCCAAAGUUGAGGCUUCGGAAUUUCUAGGCCCUUUAGGUAAAGUUGAGAACCCAGUAAAGAUUAGAUCGCCCGAGAGUCGGCGACGUACUCCAGGUUGCCAAACCCGAUUUCCUGCUCAGGGGCAAAGCUGUCGACCUGGUCAAGAUGACCAGUCGGGUCGGCGUGUAGAACGAUGCUGCCAAACGUGAAGAGCCCUGGUGCGGAUGCCAUCGCCGAUGACUAAGUGGGCCAUUGAUCCUUUGGCGAUCCUACAAUGGAACCCUCAAUGAAAGCAUUAAUGUUGGUGUCAAAACCGGCAAAUCUCGGUAGGGGUCCCGAGCUGUAGAUCUUGGAUCGAUGGGUAACAAGGAGCGUAGAGACGACGUUUACCCAGGUUUGGGCCCUCUCAAAGAAGUAAAACCAUACGUCCUGCUUAAUUGUAUUGAUGUGUUUGUAUGACAAUUACAUAGUUGAUCUAGCAUGAGAUCAGAUGAACUAAACCCUAGGUGGGUAUGAUGAUGAUGGUUCUCUCCUCUACUGGCUAAACCCUCUAGCUUAUAUAGACACCAGGGGUACCUAGGUUUACAUAUGUUGGUCACCAUCAAGGGAUAAACAUGCCGAUCACGCUAAACCAGGAUUGGAGAAUACGCCAAGUCUCCAGUGGUUUCCUUCUAGAGCAUGGAGUCGCCUAUAGUCCGACCUUCCAAUGAUGGAUCAAGAGCGGCCCACCUGUCCGACCCAUGAGAGAUAGGCUGACAGCCCAAGGACCCCUUAGUCCGGGACACCCUCAAUCAUAGUGAUUGAUCUACACCAACCGUACAUGGAUGACAAAUGUGCAUGGAGAUGGGGAUGGUGUGAUGAAGAUGCUCCCAGUGAUGCCUUGAUGUUGGUGGUGGUGGUGGUGAUGAUGAUGGCGGCGAAUUCCCUCGGCCCAAGGUGCCGAAUAAGAACAAUAAGCUCUUCUGGAGAGAAACCAGGGCUCCAUGGUGGCGUCUGCCUCAAAAAAUAAUGUAAAAACAUGGCAUGUCUUUGAAGGAUGAAAGGGUGCUUCCCUCAAAAAUAGAACAUGAUGCGGAUUUGGUGGCCCCCCAUGUCCUUGCGACAUGAUCCCUUCUUAGGCCAUGCGGGUCCCCUGGGCCUCCCCUACGCGAGUCCCUCAGACUCCCGAUUCAUUUUCCUUCAUCUAUCAAUGAUGUAUUUUCACUGGAUUUCUCCUCGAGCCUAGGAGCGUCAUUUUCUACCUGUUUUCUCCAUUUUCGGCAAUCGGUGUUUUGGUAUCCUCCAGAUGGAAAUAUGAAAAUGCAAUGCAAAUAAUGAUAAAUUGUAGCAAAGAUGAUUGAUGUGCAUAAUAAAUUAGCAAUUCAUCUUAUGAAAAUUAUGAUGCAAAAAGAACAUAUCUUGAGCAUUCGGAUCCUUCUCCCUUGAUAGAAUAUCAUAUCUUUGCAAACUAUGAACCGCCUCAAGACACCUCAUGGCAAUUUUGAUAUAGAGAUGACCUGCUAAUGCCAAUGCCUUGCAACGUGCCAGGGCUAUGAGUGUCACCGGAUCCAAGUUACCCGGGAGCUCCCAUCUCAAAUAUGACACCAUGCACAUUGGUCUUCAUGACACCACCCCUGCUUUGAAACUACCCUCGCAUCCCGACUCUACCUGCUUAAUCUCCUUUUAGCUCGUCCAAAAAUUGGUUACAGAGUAAUGGAUCGGUAUAGAACUCUGAAGAGCCCCCUCGUAGAUGUCCUUGCGCCAUCCAGAUCACCCCAUGUAGCGUUUAUGAACUUCUCUAAUCUUAGUGUGCUCCAUCAUCACAUGAAUUCGUUGUCUCGUAUCAGGUUAUGAGCUCAAGCUCAUAUCUCAAGUGAGCUCCACAUCAGCAAUAGCCUAGAACGUCCUGCAUGCAUCCAUGGUGUGUAGCACUGUAUCGAUGAAUCACCAUCAUGGAUCAACCACACCAUCCUAAGUGACUCAUAAGGCCUAGCAUGUGGAGAAGGUGGCACUAGAACGAAGUCGAUAUUUGCACUCAGCGGUGAGGACCAAGUGUUCUUUUACACUUUCACAACCUAAGUUUGAAAGUUGUAUUGUUUCUUUUCUUUUUUAUUGGCCUCGACAUGUUGGCCGACAACGGUGCAGCCUCGGAAGAGGAGGAGAAGAAGACAGAGAGGGUGAGAAGAGAUCGAUCGACCCCUUCAUCAUGUGAAGCUCGCUGCUCUAGGAGUUACGUUCUUACUUGCUCCACUUGUGUUUGACGAAAUGUGUGUGAGCUGACAUGAUUUUGUUUCUUGUUUUCUUCCUUCCUGGGCUGUAAGCUUGCCAGCCUAUUUGAUAACCCAACAGUAUGGUUGGUGUGGUUGGUGAUACGUCUCUGCUACGUCUUGAGCUUGCGUUGGUUUUCCUUGAAGAGGAUAGGGUGAUGCAACAAGUGUAGAGUAAGUAUUUCCCUCAGUUUUGAGAACCAAGGUAUCAAUCCAGUAGGAGGCUCCUCAAAAGUCCCACGCACCUACACAAACAAACUGAGAACUCGCAACCAACGCAAUAAAGGGGUUGUCAAUCCCUUCACGACCACUUGCAAAAGUGAGAUCUAAUAAAGAUAGUAUAAUAAGAUAAAUAUAUUUUUGGUAUUUUAUAAUAUAGAUGCAAAAAGUAAAGAUGCAAAUAAAAGUAGAAAGUAGAUUGAAAGCAAAUAUGAUAAGAGAUAGACCCGGGGCCAUAGGUUUCACUAGAGGCUUCUCUCAAGAUAGCAUAAGUAUUACGGUGGGUGAACAAAUUACUGUCGAGCAAUUGAUAGAAAAGCACAUAGUUAUGAGAUUAUCUAGGCAUUAUCAUGUAUAUAGGCAUCACGUCCAUAACAAGUAGACCGACUCCUGCCUGCAUCUACUACUAUUACUCCACACAUCGACCGACUCCUGCCUGCAUCUAGAGUAUUAAGUUCAUAAGAACAGAGUAACACAUUAAGCAAGAUGACAUGAUGUAGAGGGAUAAACUCAUGCAAUAUGAUGUAAACCCCAUCUUGUUAUCCUCGAUGGCAACAAUACAAUACGUGCCUUGCAACCCUUUCUGUCACUGGGUAAGGACACCGCAAGAUUGAACCCAAAGCUAAGCACUUCUCCCAUGGCAAGAAAGACCAAUCUAGUAGGCCAAACCAAACUGAUAAUUCGAAGAGGCUUGCAAAGAUAACUCAAUCAUACAUAAAAGAAUUAAGAGAAGAUUCAAAUAUUGUUCAUAGAUAAACUUGAUCAUAAACCCACAAUUCAUCGGAUCUCGACAAACACACCAGAAAAAGAGUUUACAUCGAAUAGAUCUUCACAAGAGAGGGGGAGAACAUUGUAUUGAGAUCCAAAAAGAGAGAAGAAGCCAUCUAGCUAAUAACUAUGGACCCGUAGGUCUGUGGUAAACUACUCACAACUCAUCGGAGGGGCAAGGAUGUUGAUGUAGAAGCCCUCCGUGGUCGAUUCCCCCUCCGGCAGAGUGCCGGCGAAGGCUCCAAGAUGAGAUCUCGCGGAUACAGAAGGUUACGGCGGUGGAAAUUGUGUUUCUUGGUGCCCCUGGAUGUUUUUGGGGUUCGUAGGUAUAUAUAGGAGGAAGAAGUACGUCAGUGGCCGCCCGAGGGGCCCACGAGACAGGGGGCGCGCCCUACAGGGGGGGCCUAUCUCGUGGGGCCCUCGGAAGCUUCUUGACUUGCACUCCAAGCUCUACGGAUCAUGUUUGUUCCAAAAACCACGCUCCCGAAGGUUUCAUUCCGUUUGGACUCCGUUUGAUAUUCCUUUUCUUCGAAAUACUGAAAUAGGCAAAAAAAAAACAGCAAUAUGGGCUGGGCCUCCGGUUAAUAGGUUAGUCCCAAAAAUGAUAUAAAUGUGUAAAAUAGAGCCCAUAAACAUCCAAAAGAGGUAAUAUAAUAGCAUGGAACAAUCAAAAAUUAUAGAUACGUUGGAGAAGUAUCAAGCAUCCCCAAGCUUAAUUCCUACUCGUCCUCGAGUAGGUAAAUGAUAAAAAGAGAAUUUUUGAUGUGGAAUGCUACCUAGCAUAAUUCAUAAUCUAAUUUUCUUUAUUGUGGCAUGAAUGUUCAGAUCCAAAUGAUUCAAAAUAAAAGUUCAUAUUGAUAAAAGAAAUAGUAACACUUCAAGCAUACUAAUCAAAGUAAUCAUGUCUUCUCAAAAUAGCAUGGCAAAAGAAAGUUCAUCCCUACAAAAUCAUAUAGUUAGGCUAUGCUUCAUUUUUGUCACACAAAGAUGUUCCCAACUUCUAUACCCCCGAUGGCAAGCCAAGCAAUUGUUUCAUACUUAAAUAAUCUCAAACUUUUACAACCUUCACGCAAUACAUGAGCGUGAGCCAUGGAUAUAGCACUAUGGGUGGAAUAGAAUAUGAUGAUGGGGUUUGUGUGGAGAAGACAAAAAGGAGAAAGUCUCACAUUGACGAGGAUAUCAACGGGCUAUGGAGAUGCCCAUUAAUUGAUGUCAACAUGAGGAGUAGGGAUUGCCAUGCAACGGAUGCACUAGAGCUAUAAAUGAAUGCUCAACAAAAAGAAACUAGUGGGUGUGCAUCCAACUUGCUUGCUCACGAAGACCUAGGGCAUUUGAGGAAGCCCAUCGUAGGAAUAUACAAGCCAAGUUCUAUAAUGAAAAAUUCCCACUAGUAUGAAAAAAGACAACUUAUGAGACUCACUAUAUGAAAAACAUGGUGCUACUUUGAAGCACAAUAUAUGAGACUCACUACAUGAAGAACAAGGUGCUACUUUGAAGCACAAGUGUGGAAAAAGAGAUAGUAACAUUGCCCUUUUUUUUGGGCCUUUUUUUCCUUUUUGGCCUUCCUUCUUUUUUUUUUCUUUUUGGCCUUUCUUCUUUUUUUUUCUUUGGGCAAUGUUCUAAUAAUGAUGAUCAUCACACUUCUAUUGAUUACAACAUCAGAAUUACAACUCGAAACUAGAACAAGAUAUGACUCUAUAUGAAUGCCUCCGGCGGUGUACCGGGAUGGUGCAAUGAAUCAAGAGUGACAUGUAUGAAAAAUAAUACUUGGUGGCUUUGCCACAAAUACGAUGUCAACUACAUGAUCAUGCAAUGGCAAUAUGACAAAAGUAAAGUAUGUCAUGAUGAUGAUGAACGGAACGGUGGAAACUUGCAUGGCAAUAUAUCUCGGAAUGGCUAUGGAAAUGACAUAAUAGGCAGGUAUGGUGGCUGUUUUGAGAAAGAUAUAAGGAGGUUUAUGUGUGAUAGAGCGUAUCGUAUCACGGGGUUUGGAUGCAUCGGCGAAGUUUGCACCAACUCUCAAGGUGAGAAAGGGCAAUGCACGGUACCGAAGAGGCUAGCAAAGGCGGAAAGGUAAAAGUGCGUACAAUCCAUGGACUCAACAUUAGUCAAAAGAACUCAUAUACUUAUUGCAAAAAAAAUUAAGUCAUCAAAAACCAAGUACUACGUGCAUGCUCCUAGGGAGAUAGAUUGGUAGGAAAAUACCAUCGCUCGUCCCCGACCGCCACACAUAAGGAUGCAUAAGCCAGCUACACUUCAUGUUUCAAAUUUGUUACACAACUUUAACCAUACGUGCAUGCUACAGGACUUGCUAACUUCAACACAAGCAUUAUUUAAAUUCAUAAUCACCCAACUAGCAUGACAUUAAUAUCACUACCUCCAUAUCUCAAAACAAUUAUCAAGUAUCAAAUUGAUCAUAGCAUCCAAUUCACUUCCUAUGAUAGUUUUUAUUAUUAUACCCAACUUGGAUGACUACCAUUGUAGGAUCAACUUUAUGAUAAUAGAAAAUACCAUGCUGUUCUAAAAGACUCUCAAAAUAAUAUAAGUGAAGCAUGAGUGCUAGCAAUUUCUUCAAAAUUAAGACACCACCAUGCUCUAAAAGAUAUAAGUGAAGCACUAGAGCAAAAACUAUCAAGCUCAAAAGAUAUAAGUGAAGCACAUAGAGUAUUCUAGCAAAUUCUAAUCAAAUAGGCUUCUCACAAAAGGUGUGUACAGCAAGGAUGAUUGUGGUAAACUAAAAAGCAAAGACUAAUAUAAUACACGACGCUCCAAGCAAAACACAUAUCAUGUGGCGAAUAAAAAUAUAGCUCCAAGUAAAGUUACCAAUGAACGAAGACGAAAGAGCGGAUGCCUUCCCGGGGCAUCCCCAAGCUUAGGCUUUUGGCCAUCUUUGAAUAUCUUGGGGUGCCAUGGGCAUCCCCAAUCUUAGGCUCUUGCCACCCUUUAUUCCAUAGUCCAUAAAAGCUUUACCCAAAACUUGAAAACUUCACAACACAAAACUCAACAGGAAAUCUUAUAAGCUCCGUUAGUGAAAGAAAACAAAACCACCACAUAAGGUACUGCAAUGAAAUCAUUCUUUAUUUAAUUUGGUGUUAAACCUACUGUAUUCCAACUUCUUUAUGGUUCAUAGACUAAUUUACUAGCCAUAGAUGCAUUGAAAUAAGCAAACAACACACAAAAAACAGAAUCUGUCAAAAACAGAACAGUUUGUAGCAAUCUGUAACUAACGCAAACUUCUGGAACUCUAAAAAUCCUACCAAAAUAGGAAGUCCUGGACAAUUUGUUUAUUGAACAACAGCAAAACUAAUAAACGCAAAAGCACGUUCCUGUGAUUUAACAAAAUUAUAUUCGUGCGCGCAAAGUUUCUGUUUUUCAGCAGAAUCAAAUCAAUUAUCAUCAUAGGUUAUCAUAUAGGUUCUACUUGGCACAAACACUAAUUAAAAGAUAAAAACACAUCUAAACAGAGGGUAGGUGCAAGACUUAUUACUAAACAGGAGCAAAAACAAAAAACAUAAAGAAAAAUUGGGUUGCCUCCCAACUAGCGCUAUCGUUUAACGCCCCUAGCUAGGCAUAAAAGCAAGGAUAGAUCUAACGAGUGCCAUUUUUGGCACUAAAUUCAUAAGUAGGACGCAUGAUAGAUUCAUAAGGUAAUUUGACUUUAUUUCUUGGAAAGUGCUCCAUGCCUUUCUUUAAGGGAAAUUGGAAUCCAAUAUUCCCUUCCUUCAUAUCAAUAAUCGCACCAAUCGUUCUAAGGAAAGGUCUACCAAGAAUAAUAGGGCAAGAAAGAUUGCAAUAUAUAUAAAGAACGAUAAAAUCUACGGGCACCAAAUUUCUAUUUGCAAUAAUAAGAACAUCAUUGAUUCUUCCCAUAGGCUUUUUAAUGGUGGAAUCCGCAAGGUGAAAAUUUAAAGAGCAAUCAUCAAGAUCAUGGAAACCUAGAAUAUCACAUAAAGUUUUCGGAAUCGUGGAAACACUAGCACCCAAAUCACACAAAGCAAAACACUCAUGAUCUUUAAUUCUAAUCUUUAUAGUAGGUUCCCACUCAUCAUUAAGUUUUCUAGGUAUAGAAACUUCCAAAUUAAGUUUUUCAUCAUAAGAUUGCAUCAAGGCAUUAACAAUAUGUUUGGUAAAAGCUUUAUUUUGGCUAUAAGCAUGAGGAGAAUUAACAACGGAUUGCAACAAGGAAAUACAACCUUCUAAAGAACAAUUAUCAUAAUCAAAUUCCUUGGAAUCUGAGAUAGAAGGUUUGAUAUUAUUAGAAGUUGAGGAUUCUCCAAUCUCACUUUUACCAAAUUUAGCAUUAAGAUCUAAAGACUUCGAAUUCUUGGGACGCCUUCUAGGCAAAGUUGAUUCAUCAUCAGUCCCAUAAUCAUCAAAAUUCAUAUUGCAAAACAUAGAUCUAAUCGGAGACGCAUCAAUAACUUUAAGAUCCUCAUCAUUAUUUUCAUGGAGACUAGAAGAACACGCUUUUAUAAAGCUUUCUUUUUUAGCACGCAAUCUAGCGGUUCUUUCCUUGCACUCGUCAAUGGAAAUUCACAUUACUUUGAGAGACUCAUUGAUAUCAUGCUUAGGAGAAGAAGAUCCAAGUUUAAGAGAAUUAACAUCAAGCAAAAGUCUAUCAACGUUCGUAGCCAAAUCAUCAACUUUGAGCAAUUUUUCUUCAAGCAAAGCAUUAAAAUUCUUUUGAGAAAUCAUAAAUUCUUUCACACUAUUCUCAAAAUCAGAGGGCAUCUUAUUAAAAUUACCAUAAGAAUUAUUGUAGGAAUUUCCAUAAUUAUUAGAGGAAUUACUAGGGAACGGUCUAGCAUUAAAGUUUCCUCUAUAAGCAUUGUUUCCAAAACUAUUCCUACCAAAAAAAUUCACAUCCAUAGAUUCAUUAUUAUUCUCAAUCAAGGAAGAAAAAGGCAUAUCAUUGGGAUCAAGAGAAGUAUUUUUAGUAGCAAACAUCUUCAUAAGUUCAUCCAUCUUUCCACUCAAAACAUUGAUUUCUUCUAUAGCAUGCACUUUUUUACUAGAAGAUCUUUCACCGUGCCAUUGAGAAUAAUUAGCCAUAAUAUUAUCAAGUAAUUUUGUAGCAUCUCCUAACGUAAUUUCCAUAAACGUGCCUCCCGCGACCGAAUCUAAGAGAUUUGUAGAAGCAAAGUUCAAACCGGCAUAAAUUUUUUGUAUGAUCAUCCAUAAAUUCAAACCAUGAGUAGGGCAAUUGCGAAGCAUCAAUUUCAUUCUUUCCCAAGAUUGGGCAACAUGCUCAUGAUCAAGUUGUUUAAAAUUAAUAAUAUCGUUCCUAAGAGUGAUGAUCUUAGCGGGAGGAAAAUACUUAGAGAUAAAAGCAUCUUUGCACUUGUUCCAAGAAUCAAUACUAUUUUUAGGCAAAGAUGAAAACCAAACUUUAGCACGAUCUCUAAGUGAAAACGGAAAUAACUUCAAUUUGAUAAUAUUGUUAUCCGUAUCUUUCUUAUUUUGCAUAUCACACAAAUCAACAAAGUUGUUUAGAUGAGUAGCGGCAUCUUCACUAGGAUGGCCGGCGAAUUGAUCUUUCAUAACAAGAUUUAGCAAAGCAGUAUUGAUUUCACAAGACACAACAUCAUUAAGAGGAGCAAUCGGAGUACUAAGGAAAUCAUUAUUAUUGGUAUUCGAGAAAUCACACAAUUUGGUAUUAUCUUGCGCCAUGGCAACAAGUAAUCCAACACACAAGCAAACAGAAAAACGGCAAGCGAAAAAGAGAGGAGGAGAUUAGGAAAGAGAGGGCGAAUAAAACGGCAAGGGUGAAGUGGGGGAGAGGAAAACGAGAGGCAAAUGGCAAAUAAUGUAAAUGCGAGGGAGAUGGGUUUGUGAUGGUUACUUGGUAUGUCUUGACUUGAGCGAAGACCUCCCCGACAACGGCGCCAGAAAUCCUUCUUGCUAUGUCUUGAGCUUGCGUUGGUUUUCCUCGAAGAGGAGAGGGUGAUGAAGCAAGUGUAGCGUAAAUAUUUCCCUUAGUUUUGAGAACCAAGGUAUCAAUCCAGUAGGUGGCUCCUCAAAAGUACCACGCACCUACACAAACAAACUGAGAACUCGCAACCAACGCAAUAAAGGGGUUGUCAAUCCCUUCACGGCCACUUGCGAAAGUGAGAUCUAAUAAACAUAGUAUGAUAAGAUAAAUAUAUUUUUGGUAUUUUAUAAUAUAGAUACAAAAAUUAAAGAUGCAAAUAAAAGUAGAAAGUAGAUUGAAAGCAAAUAUGAUAAGAGAUAGACCCGGGGGCCAUAGGUUUCAUUAGAGGCUUCUCUCAAGAUAGCAUAAGUAUUACGGUGGGUGAACAAAUUACUGUCGAGCAAUUGAUAGAAAAGCGCAUAGUUAUGAGAUUAUCUAGGCAUGAUCAUGUAUAUAGGCAUCACGUCCAUAACAAGUAGACCGACUCCUGCCUGCAUCUACUACUAUUACUCCACACAUUGACCGACUCCUGCCUGCAUCUAGAGUAUUAAGUUCAUAAGAACAGAGUAACACAUUAAGCAAGAUGACAUGAUGUAGAGGGAUAAACUCAUGCAAUAUGAUGUAAACCCCAUCUUGUUAUCCUCGAUGGCAACAAUACAAUACGUGCCUUGCAACUCUUUCUGUCACUGGGUAAGGACUCCGCAAGAUUGAACCCAAAGCUAAGCACUUCUCCCAUGGCAAGAAAUACCAAUCUAGUAGGCCAAACCAAACUCAUAAUUCGAAGAGACUUGGAAAGAUAACUCAAUCAUACAUAAAAGAAUUCAGAUAAGAUUCAAAUAUUGUUCAUAGAUAAACUUGAUCAUAAACCCACAAUUCAUCGGAUCUCGACAAACACACCGGAAAAAGAGUUUACAUCGAAUAGAUCUCCACAAGAGAGGGGGAGAACAUUGUAUUGAGAUCCAAAAAGAGAGAAGAAGCCAUCUAGCUAAUAACUAUGGACCCGUAGUGAAGGAAAUAUGCCCUAGAGGUAAUAAUAAAGUUAUUAUUUAUUUCCUCAUAUCAUGAUAAAUGUUUAUUAUUCAUGCUAGAAUUGUAUUAACCGGAAACAUGAUACAUGUGUGAAUACAUAGACAAACAUAACGUCACUAGUAUGCCUCUACUUGACUAGCUCAUUAAUCAAAGAUGGUUAUGUUUCCUAACCAUAGACAUGUGUUGUCAUUUGAUUAACAGGAUCACAUCAUUAGGAGAAUGAUGUGAUUGACAUGACCCAUUCCGUUAGCCUAGCACUUGAUCGUUUAGUAUAUUGCUAUUGCUUUCUUCAUGACUUAUACAUGUUCCUGUAACUAUGAGAUUAUGCAACUCCCGUUUACCGGAGGAACACUUUGGGUGCUACCAAACAUCACAACAUAACUGGGUGAUUAUAAAGGAGUACUACAGGUGUCUCCGAAGGUACAUGUUGGGUUGGCGUAUUUCAAGAUUAGGUUUUCUCACUCCGAUUGUCGGAGAGGUAUCUCUGGGCCCUCUCGGUAAUGCACAUCACUAUAAGCCUUGCAAACAAUGUAGCUAAUGAGUUAGUUACGAAAUGAUGCAUUACGUAACGAGUAAAGAGACUUGCCAGUAACGAGAUUGAACUAGGUAUUGGAUACCGACGAUCGAAUCUCGGGCAAGUAACAUACCAAUGACAAAGGGAACAACGUAUGUUGUUAUGCGGUUUGACCGAUAAAGAUCUUCGUAGAAUAUGUAGGAGCCAAUAUGGGCAUCCAGGUUCCGCUAUUGGUUAUUGAUCGAGAAUAGUUCUAGGUCAUGUCUACAUAGUUCUCGAACCCAUAGGGUCCGCACGCUUAACAUUACGAUGACCGUUUUAUUAUGAGUUUAUAAGUUUUGAUGUACCGAAUUUUGUUCGGAGUCCCGAAUGUGAUCACAGACAUGACGAGGAGUCUCGAAAUUGUCGAGACAUAAAGAUUGAUAUAUUGGAAGCCUAUGUUUGGACAUCGGAAGUGUUCCGGGUGAAAUCGGCAUUUUACCGGAGUACCGGGAGGUUACCGGAACCCCCCGGUGACCUAAUGGGCCUUAUUGGGCCUAGUGGAGGAUGAGGAGAGGAGGCCUAGGGGCAGCCGCGCGCCCCUCCCCCCCAAGUCCGAAUAGGACAAGGAGGGGGGCGGCGCCCCCCCUUUCCUUUCCCCCCUCUCCUCCUCCCCCCAUGUCCUAGUCCAACUAGGGAAGGGGGGAGUCCUACUCCCGGUGGGAGUAGGACUCCUCCGGCGCGCCUCCUCCUAGGGCCGGCCGCACCCCCCCUUGCUCCUUUAUAUACGGGGGCAGGAGGGCACCCCAUAAGACACAAGUUGAUCUUCAAGAUCGUUCCUUAGCCGUGUGCGGUGCCCCCCUCCACCAUAUUCCACCUCAGUCAUAUCGUCGCAGAGUUUAGGCGAAGCCCUGCGCCGGUAGAACAUCAUCAUCGUCACCACGCCAUCGUGCUGACGGAACUCAUCCCCAACACUUUGCUGGAUCGGAGUCCGGGGAUCGUCAUCGAGCUGAACGUGUGCUGAACUCGGAGGUGCCGUAUGUUCGGUACUUGGAUCGGUCGGAUCGUGAAGACGUACGACUACAUCAACCGCGUUGUCAUAACGCUUCCGCUUACGGUCUACGAGGGUACGUGGACAACACUCUCCCCUCUCGUUGCUAUGCAUCACCAUGAUCUUGCGUGUGCGUAGGAAUUUUUUUAAAAUUACUACGUUCCCCAAUAGUGGUAUCAGAGCCAGGUUUUAUGCGUAGAUGUCAUAUGCACGAGUAGAACACAAGUGAGUUGUGGGUGAUACAAGUCAUACUGCUUACUAGCAUGUCAUACUUUGGUUUGGCGGUAUUGUGAGAUGAAGCGGCCCGGACCGACAUUACGCGUACGCUUACGUGAGACUGGUUUCACCUUUACGAGCACUCGUGCUUAAAGGUGGCUGGCGGGUGUCUGUCUCUCUCACUUUAGCUGAUUCAAGUGUGGCUACGCCCGGUCCUUGUGAAGGUUAAAACAUCACUAACUUGAUGAACUAUCGUUGUGGUUUUGAUGCGUAGGUAAGAACGGUUCUUGCUAAGCCCGUAGCAGGCACGUAAAAUUUGCAACAACAAAGUAGAGGACGUCUAACUUGUUUUUGCAGGGCAUGUUGUGAUGUGAUAUGGUCAAGACGUGAUGCUAUAUUUUAUUGUAUGAGAUGAUCAUGUUUUGUAACUGAAGUUAUCGGCAACUGGCAGGAGCCAUAUGGUUGUCGCUUUAUUGUAUGAAAUGCAAACGCCCUGUAAUUGCUUGACUUUAUCACUAAGCGGUAGCGAUAGUCGUAGAAGCAAUAGAUGGCGUAACGACAAUGAUGCUAUGAUGGAGAUCAAGGUGUCGCGCCAGUGACGAUGGUGAUCACGACGGUGCUUCGAAGAUGGAGAUCACAAGCACAAGAUGAUGAUGGCCAUAUCAUAUCACUUAUAUUGAUUGCAUGUGAUGUUUAUCCUUUAUGCAUCUUAUCUUGCUUUGAUUGACGGUAGCAUUUUAAGAUGAUCUCUCACUAAAUUAUCAAGAAGUGUUCUCCCUGAGUAUGCACCGUUGCGAAAGUUCUUCGUGCUAAGACACCACAUGAUGAUCGGGUGUGAUAGGCUCUACGUUCAAAUACAACGGGUGCAAAACAGUUGCACACGCGGAAUACUCAGGUUAAACUUGACGAGCCUAGCAUAUAACAGAUAUGGCCUCGGAACACGGAGACCGAAAGGUCGAGCGUGAAUCAUAUAGUAGAUAUGAUCAACAUAUUGAUGUUCACCGUUGAAACUACUCCAUCUCACGUGACGAUCGGACAUGGUGUAGUUGAUAUGGAUCACGUAAUCACUUAGAGGAUUAGAGAGAUGUCUAUCUAAGUGGGAGUUCUUAAGUAAUAUGAUUAGUUGAACUUAAAUUUAUCAUGAACUUAGUACCUGAUAGUAUUUUGCUUGUCUAUGUUUGUUGUAGAUAGAUGGCUCGUGCUGUUGUUCCGUUGAAUUUUAAUACGCUCCUUGAGAAAGCAAAGUUGAAAGAUGAUGGUAGCAAUUACACAGACUGGGUCCGUCACCUGAGGAUUAUCCUCAUUGCUGCACAGAAGAAUUACGUCCUGGAAGCACCGCUGGGUGCCAGGCCUGCUGCUGAUGCAACUGACGAUGUUAAGAACGUCUGGCAGAGCAAAGCUGAUGACUACUCGAUAGUUCAGCGUGCCAUGCUUUACGGCUUAGAACCGGGUCUUUAACGACGUUUUGAACGUCAUAGAGCAUAUGAGAUGUUCCAGGAGUUGAGGUUAAUAUUUCAAGCAAAUGCCCAGAUUGAGAGAUAUGAAGUCUCCAAUAAGUUCUAUAGCUGCAAGAUGGAGGAGAAUAGUUCUGUCAGUGAACACAUACUCAAAAUGUCUGGGUAUAAUAAUCACUUGAUUCAACUGGGAGUUACUCUUCCUGAUGAUAGUGUCAUUGACAGAAUUCUUCAAUCACUGCCACCAAGCUACAAGAGCUUUGUGAUGAACUAUAAUAUGCAAGGGAUGGACAAGACUAUUCCUGAGCUCUUCGCAAUGCUAAAAGUCGCGGAGGUAGAAAUCAAAGAAGGAGCAUCAAGUGUUGAUGGUUAACAAGACCACCAGUUUCAAGAAAAAGGGCAAAGGGAAGAAGAAGGGGAACUUCAAGAAGAACAGCAAACAAGUUGCUACUCAAGAGAAGAAACCCAAGUCUGGACCUAAGCCUGAGACUGAGUGCUUCUACUGCAAGCAGACUGGACACUGGAAGCGAAACUGCCCCAAGUAUUUGGCGGAUAAGAGGGAUGGCAAAGUGAACAAAGGUAUAUGUGAUAUACAUGUUAUUGAUGUGUACCUUACUAAUGCUCGCAGUAGUACCUGGGUAUUUGAUACUGGUUCUGUUGCUAAUAUUUGCAACUUGAAACAGGGACUACGGAUUAAGCGAAGAUUGGCUAAGGACGAGGUGACGAUGCGCGUGGGAAAUGGUUCCAAAGUCGAUGUGAUCGCGGUCGGCACGCUACCUCUAAAUCUACCAUCGGGAUUAGUUUUAGACCUAAAUAAUUGUUAUUUGGUGCCAGCGUUGAGCAUGAACAUUAUAUCUGGAUCUUGUUCAAUGCGAGACGGUUAUUCAUUUAAGUCAGAGAAUAAUGGUUGUUCUAUUUAUAUGAGUAAUAUCUUUUAUGGUCAUGAACCCUUUAAGAGUGGUCUAUUUUUAUUGAAUCUCGAUAGUAGUGAUACACAUAUUCAUAGUGUUGAAACCAAAAGAUGCAUAGUUGAUAAUGAUAGUGCAACUUAUUUGUGGCACUGCCGUUUAGGUCAUAUCGGUGUAAAGCGCCUGAAGAAACUCCAUACUGAUGGGCUUUUGGAAUCACUUGAUUAUGAAUCACUUGGUACUUGUGAACCGUGCCUCAUGGGCAAGAUGACUAAAACGCCGUUCUCCGGAACUAUGGAGCGAGCAACUGAUUUGUUGGAAAUCAUACAUACUGAUGUUUGUGGUCCAAUGAAUGUUGAGGCUCGCGGCGGGUAUCGUUAUUUUCUCACCUUCACAGAUGAUUUGAGCAGCUAUGGGUAUAUCUACUUAAUGAAACACAAGUCUGAAACAUUUGAAAAGUUCAAAAAAUUCAGAGUGAAGUGGAAAAUCAUCGUAACUAGAAAAUAAAUUUUCUACGAUCUGAUCGUGGAGGAGAAUAUUUGAGUUACGAGUUUGGUCUACAUUUGAAACAAUGCAGAAUAGUUUCACAACUCACGCCACCCGGAACACCACAACGAAAUGGUGUGUCCGAUGUAAUCGUACUUUACUAGAUAUGGUGCGAUCUAUGAUGUCUCUUACUGAUUUACCGCUAUUGUUUUGGGGUUAUGCUUUAGAGACGGCCGCAUUCACGUUAAAUAGGGCACCAUCAAAAUCCGUUGAGACGACACCUCAUGAACUGUGGUUUGGCAAGAAACCAAAGUUGUCGUUUCUUAAAGUUUGGGGCUGCGAUGCUUAUCUGAAGAAACUUCAACCAGAUAAGCUCGAGCCCAAAUCGGAGAAAUGUGUCUUCAUAGGAUACCCAAAAGAGACUGUUAGGUACACCUUCUAUCACAAAUCUGAGGGCAAGAUUUUCGUUGCUAAGUUCGGAUCCUUUCUAGAGAAGGAGUUUCUCUCGAAAGAAGUGAGUGGGAGGAAAGUAGAACUUGAUGAGUUAACUGUACCUGCUCCCUUAUUGGAAAGUAGUUCAUCACAAGAAUCGGUUCUUGUGACAACUACACCAAUUAGUGAGGAAGCUAAUGAUAUUGAUCAUGAAACUUCAGAUCAAGUUUCUACUGAACCUCGUAGGUCUACCAGAGUAAGAUCCGCACCAGAGUGGUACGGUAAUCCUAUUCUGGAAGUCAUGUUACUUGACCAUGAUGAACCUACGAACUAUGAGGAAGCGAUGAUGAGCCCAGAUUCUGCAAAAUGGCUAGAGGCCAUGAAAUCUGAGAUGGGAUCCAUGUAUGAGAACAAAGUAUGGACUUUGGUUGACUUUCCCGAUGAUUGGCAAGCCAUUGAGAAUAAAUGGAUCUUUAAGAAGAAGACUGACGCUGAUGGUAAUGUAACAGUCUGUAAAGCUCGACUUGUUGCGAAAUGUUUUCGACAAGUUCAAGGGGGUGACUACGAUGAGACUUUCUCACCCGUAGCGAUGCUUAAGUCAUUCCGAAUCAUGUUAGCAAUUGCUGCAUUUUAUGAUUAUGAAAUUUGGCAAAUGGAUGUCAAAACUGCAUUCUUGAAUGGAUUUCUGGAAGAAGAGUUGUAUAUGAUGCAGCCAGAAGGUUUUUUUUGAUCCAAAAGGUGCUAACAAUGUGUGCAAGCUCCAGCGAUCCAUUUAGAGACUGGUGCAAGCAUCUCGGAGUUGGAAUAAAUGCUUUGAUAGUGUGAUCAAUGCAUAUGGUUUUAUACAGACUUUUGGAGAAGCCUGUAUUUACAAGAAAGUGAGUGGGAGCUCUGUAGCAUUUCUGAUAUUAUAUAUAGAUGACAUAUUAUUAAUUGGAAAUGAUAUAGAAUUUCUGGAUAGCAUAAAGGGAUACUUGAAUAAAAGUUUUUCUAUGAAAGACCUCGGUGAAGCUGCUUAUAUAUUGGGCAUCAAGAUUUAUAGAGAUAGAUCAAGACGCUUAAUUGGACUUUCACAAAGCACAUACCUUGAUAAAGUUUUGAAAAAGUUCAAAAUGGAUCAGGCAAAGAAAGGGUUCUUGCCCGUACUACAAGGUGUGAAGUUGAGUCAAACUCAAUGCCCGACCACAGCAGAAUAUAGGGAGAAAAUGAAGGAGUUCAUUUCCGAUCUAGGUGUCAUACCUAGUGCAUCGGGACCAAUGAAGAUCUUCUGUGACAACACUGGUGCAAUUGCCUUGGCAAAGGAAUCCAGAUUUCACAAGAGGACCAAGCACAUCAAGAGACACUUUAAUUCCAUCCAGGACCAAGUCCAGGUGGGAGACAUAGAGAUUUGCAAGAUACAUACGGAUCUGAAUGUUGCAGACCCAUUGACUAAGCCUCUUCCACGAGCAAAACAUGAUCAGCACCAAGACUACAUGGGUGUUAGAAUCAUUACUGUGUAAUCCAGAUUAUUGACUCUAGUGCAAGUGGGAGGCUGAAGGAAUAUGCCCUAGAGGCAAUAAUAAAGUUAUUGUUUAUUUCCUCAUAUCAUGAUAAAUGUUUAUUAUUCAUGCUAGAAUUGUAUUAACCGGAAACAUGAUACAUGUGUGAAUACAUAGACAAACAUAAUGUCACUAGUAUGCCUCUACUUGACUAGCUCAUUAAUCAAAGAUGGUUAUGUUUCCUAACCAUAGACAUGUGUUGUCAUUUGAUUAACAGGAUCACAUCAUUAGGAGAAUGAUGUGAUUGACAUGACCCAUUCCGUUAGCCUAGCACUUGAUCGUUUAGUAUAUUGCUAUUGCUUUCUUCAUGACUUAUACAUGUUCCUGUAACUAUGAGAUUAUGCAACUCCCGUUUACCGGAGGAACACUUUGGGUGCUACCAAACGUCACAACGUAACUGGGUGAUUAUAAAGGAGUACUACAGGUGUCUCCGAAGGUACAUGUUGGGUUGGCGUAUUUCGAGAUUAGGUUUUGUCACUCCGAUUGUCGGAGAGGUAUCUCUGGGCCCUCUCGGUAAUGCACAUCACUAUAAGCCUUGCAAGCAAUGUAGCUAAUGAGUUAGUUACAGAAUGAUGCAUUACGUAACGAGUAAAGAGACUUGCCAGUAACGAGAUUGAACUAGGUAUUGGAUACCGACGAUCGAAUCUCGGGCAAGUAACAUACCGAUGACAAAGGGAACAACGUAUGUUGUUAUGCGGUUUGACCGAUAAAGAUCUUCAUAGAAUAUGUAGUAGCCAAUAUGGGCAUCCAGGUUCCGCUAUUGGUUAUUGACCGAGAAUAGUUCUAGGUCAUGUCUACAUAGUUCUCGAACCCGUAGGGUCCGCACGCUUAACGUUACGAUGACAAUUUUAUUAUGAGUUUAUAAGUUUUGAUGUACCGAAGUUUGUUCGGAGUCCCGGAUGUGAUCACGGACAUGAUGAGGAGUCUCUAAAUGGUCGAGACAUAAAGAUUAAUAUAUUGGAAGCCUAUGUUUGGACAUCGGAAGUGUUCCGGGUGAAAUCGGCAUUUUACCGGAGUACCGGGAGGUUACCGGAACCCCCCGGUGACCUAAUGGGCCUUAUUGGGCCUAGUGGAGGAAUAGGAGAGGAGGCCUAGGGGCAGCCGCGCGCCCCUCCCCCCUAAGUCCGAAUAGGACAAGGAGGGGGGCGGCGCCCCCCUUUCCUUUCCCCCCUCUCCUCCUUCCCCCAAGUCCUAGUCCAACUAGGGAAGGGGGGGAGUCCUACUCCCGGUGGGAGUAGGACUCCUCCGGCGCGCCUCCUCCUAGGGCCGACCGCACCCCCCUUGCUCCUUUAUAUACGGGGGCAGGGGGCACCCCAUAAGACACAAGUUGAUCUUCAAGAUCGUUCCUUAGCCGUGUGCGGUGCCCCCUCCACCAUAUUUCACCUCGGUCAUAUCGUCGCGGAAUUUAGGCGAAGCCCUGCGCCGGUAGAACAUCAUCAUCGUCACCACACCAUCGUGCUGACGGAACUCAUCCCCGACACUUUGCUGGAUUGGAGUCCGGGGAUCAUCAUCGAGCUGAACGUGUGCUGAACUCGGAGGUGCCGUACGUUCGGUACUUGGAUCGGUCGGAUCGUGAAGACGUACGACUACAUCAACCGCGUUGUCAUAACGCUUCUGCUUACGGUCUACGAGGGUACAUGGACAACACUCUCCCCUCUCGUUGCUAUGCAUCACCAUGAUCUUGCGUGUGCGUAGGAUUUUUUUUGAAAUUACUACGUUCCCCAACACGUAGGUCUGUGUAAACUACUCACGACUCAUUGGAGAGGCAAGGAUGUUGAUGUAGAAGCCCUCCAUGGUCGAUUCCCCCUCCGGCAGAGUGCUGGCGAAGGCUCCAAGAUGAGAUCUCGCGGAUACAGAAGGUUACGGCGGUGGAAAUUGUGUUUCGUGGUGCCCCUGGAUGUUUUCGGGGUACGUAGGUAUAUAUAGGAGGAAGAAGUAUGUCAGUGGCCGCCCGAGGGGCCCACGAGACAGGGGGGCGCGCCCUACAGGGGGGGGGGGCCUAUCUCGUGGGGCCCUCGGAAGUUUCUUGACUUGCACUCCAAGCUCUACGGAUCACGUUCGUUCCAAAAAUCACGCUCCCGAAGGUUUCAUUCCGUUUGGACUCCGUUUGAUAUUUCUUUUCUUCGAAAUACUGAAAUAGGCGAAAAAACAGCAAUAUGGGCUGGGCCUCCGGUUAAUAGGUUAGUUCCAAAAAUGGUAUAAAUGUGUAAAAUAAAGCCCAUAAACAUCCAAAAGAGGUAACAUGUCUCUAAUGUAUCUAUAAUUUUUGAUUAUUCCAUGCUAUUAUAUUACCCCUUUUGGAUGUUUAUGGGCUCUAUUUUACACAUUUAUAUCAUUUUUGGGACUAACCUAUUAACCGGAGGCCGAGCCCGUAUUUCUGUUUUUUGCCUAUUUCAGUAUUUCGAAGAAAAGGAAUAUCAAACGGAGUCCAAACGGAAUGAAACCUUCGAGAGCGUGAUUUUUGGAACGAACGUGAUCCAGAGAGCUUGGAGUGCAAGUCAAGAAGCAGCCGAGGCCCCCACGAGAUAGGGGCCGCGCCCCCCCUAUAGGGCGCGCCCCCUGUCUCGUGGGCCCCUCGGGCGGCCACCGACGUACUUCUUCCUCCUAUAUAUACCUACGUGCCCCGAAAACAUCCAGGGGCACCACGAAACACAAUUUCCACCGCCAUAACCUUCUGUAUCCGCGAGAUCCCAUCUUGGAGCCUUCGCCGGCGCUCCGCCAGUGGGGGAAUCGACCAUGGAGGGCUUCUACAUCAACAUCCUUGCCCCUCCGAUGAGUUGUGAGUAGUUUACCACAGACCUACGGGUCCAUAGUUAUUAGCUAGAUGGCUUCUUCUCUCUUUCUGGAAAACAAUACAAUGUUCUCCCCCUCUCUUGUGGAGAUCUAUUCAAUGUAAACUCUUUUUGCGGUGUGUUUGUCGAGAUCCGAUGAAUUGUGGGUUUAUGAUCAAGUUUAUAUAUGAAUAAUAUUUGAAUCUUCUCUGAAUUCUUUUAUGUAUGAUUGAGUUAUCUUUGCAAGUCUCUUCGAAUUAUCAGUUUGGUCUUGCCAUGGGAGAAGUGCUUAGCUUUGGGUUCAAUCUUGCGGUGUCCUUACCCAGUGACAGAAAGGGUUGCAAGGCACGUAUUGUAUUGUUGCCAUCGAGGAUAACAAGAUGGGGUUUAUAUCAUAUUGCAUGAGUUUAUCCCUCUACAUCAUGUCAUCUUGCUUAAUGUGUUACUCUGUUCUUAUGAACUUAAUACUCUAGAUGCAUGCUGGAUAGCGGUCGAUGUGUGGAGUAAUAGUAGUAGAUGUAGGCAGGAGUCGGUCUACUUGUUAUGGACGUGAUGCCUAUAUACAUGAUCAUGCCUAGAUAAUCUCAUAACUAUGCGCUUUUCUAUCAAUUGCUUGACAGUAAGUUGUUCACCCACCGUAAUACUUAUGCUAUCUUGAGAGAAGCCACUAGUGAAACCUAUGGCCCCCGAGUCUAUCUCUUACCAUAUUUGCUUUCAAUCUACUUUUAUUCGCAUCUUUACUUUUUGCAUCUAUAUUAUAAAAUACCAAAAAUAUAUUUAUCUUAUCAUACUAUCUUUAUUAGAUCUCACUUUCGUAAGUGGCCGUGAAGGGAUUGACAACCCCUUUAUUGUGUUGGUUGCGAGUUCUCAGUUUGUUUGUGUAGGUGCGUGGGACUUUUGAGGAGCCUCCUACAGCAUUGAUACCUUGGUUCUCAAAACUGAGGGAAAUACUUAUGCUACACUUGCUUCAUCACCCUCUCCUCUUCGAGGAAAACCAACGCAAGCUCAAGACGUAGCAAGAAGGAUUUCUGGCGUCGUUGCCGGGGAGGUCUUCGCUCAAGUCAGCAUACCAAGUACCCAUCACAAACCCAUCUCCCUCGCAUUUCCAUUAUUUGUCAUUUGCCUCUCAUUUUCCUCUCCCCCACUUCACCCUUGCCGUUUUAUUCGCCCUCUCUUUCCCAAUCUCCUCCUCUCUUUUUUGCUUGCCAUUUUUCUGUUUGCUUGUGUGUUGGAUUACUUGUUGCCAUGGCGCAAGAUAAUACAAAAUUGUGUGAUUUCUCGAAUACCAAUAACAAUGAUUUCCUUAGUACUCCGAUUGCUCCUCUUAAUGAUGUUGAGUCUUGUGAAAUCAAUACCGCUUUGCUGAAUCUUGUUAUGAAAGAUCAAUUCGCCGGCCUUCCUAGUGAAGAUGCCGCUACUCAUCUAAACAACUUUGUUGAUUUGUGUGAUAUGCAAAAGAAGAAAUAUACGGAUAACAAUAUUGUCAAAUUGAAGUUAUUCCCGUUUUCACUUAGAUAUCAUGCUAAAGUUUGGUUUUCGUCUUUGCCUAAAAACAGUAUUGAUUCUUGGAACAAGUGCAAAGAUGCUUUUAUCUCCAAUUAUUUUCCUCCCGCUAAGAUUAUCACUCUUAGGAACGAUAUUAUGAAUUUUAAACAACUUUAUCAUGAGCAUGUUGCCCAAUCUUGGGAAAGAAUUAAACUGAUGCUUCGCAAUUGCCCUACUCAUGGUUUGAAUUUAUGGAUGAUCAUAUAAAAAUUGUAUGCCGGUUUGAACUUUGCUUCUAGAAAUCUCUUAGAUUCGGCUGUGGGAGGCACGUUUAUGGAAAUUAUGUGAGGAGAUGCUACAAAACUUCUUGAUAAUAUUAUGGCUAAUUAUUCUCAAUGGCACACCGAAAGAUCUUCUAGUAAAAAAGUGCAUGCUAUAGAAGAAAUCAAUGUUUUGAGUGGAAAGAUGGAUGAACUUAUGAAGAUGUUUGCUACUAAAAAUACUCCUCUUGAUCCCAAUGAUAUGUCUUUGUCUUCUUUGAUUGAGAAUAAUAAUGAAUCUAUGGAUGUGAAUUUUGUUGGUAGGAAUAGUUUUGGAAACAAUGCUUAUAGAGGAAACUUUAAUGCUAGACCGUUCCCUAGUAAUUCCUCUAAUAACUAUGGAAAUUCCUACAAUAAUUCUUAUGGUAAUUUUAAUAAGAUGCCCUCUGAUUUUGAGAAUAGUGUGAAAGAAUUUAUGAUUUCUCAAAAGAAUUUUAAUGCCUUGCUUGAAGAAAAAUUGCUCAAAGUUGAUGAUUAGGAACGUUGAUAGACUUUCGCUUGAUGUUGAUUCUCUUAAACUUAGAUUUUCUCCUCCUAAUCAUGAUAUCAAUGAGUCUCUCAAAGUAAUGAGAAUUUCCAUUGACGAGUGUAAGGAAAGAACCGCUAGAUUGCGUGCUAAAAGAGAUAGUUUUAUAAAAGCGUGUUCUUCUAGUUUCCUAUUGAUGCGUCUCCUAUUAGAUCUACGUUUUGCAAUAUGAGUUUUGAUGAUUAUGGGACUGAUGAUGAAUCAACUUUGCCUAGAAGGCGUCCCAAGAAUUCGGAGUCUUUAGAUCUUAAUGCUAAAUUUGGUAAAAGUGAGAUUGGAGAAUCCUCAACUUCCAAUAAUAUUGAACCUAGUAUCUCGGAUUUCAAGGAAUUUGACUAUGAUAAUUGUUCUUUAAAAGGUUGUAUUUCCUAGUUGCAAUCCGUUGUUAAUUCUCCUCAUGCUUAUAGAAAUUUGGUGCCCGUAGAUUUUAUAGUUCUUGAUAUAGAUUGCAACCUUUUUUGCCCUAUUAUUCUUGGUAGACCUUUCCUUAGAACGAUUGGUGCGGUUAUUGAUAUGAAGGAAGGGAAUAUUAGAUUCCAAUUUCCAUUAAAGAAAGGCAUGGAGCACUUUCCAAGAAACAAAGUCAAAUUACCUUAUGAAUCAAUCAUGCGUGCUACUUACGAAUCUAGUGCCAAAGAUGGCACUACUUAGAUCUAUCUUCGCUUUUAUGCCUAGCUAGGGGCGUUAAACGAUAGCGCUAGUUGGGAAGCAACCCAAUUUUUCUUUAUGUUUUUUUGUUUUUGCUCCUUUUUAGUAAUAAAUCUUGCAUCUACCUUCUGUUUAGAUGUGUUUUUAUCUUUUAAUUAGUGUUUGUGCCAAGUAGAACCUAUAGGAUAACCUACGAUGAUAGUUGAUUUGAUUCUGCUGAAAAACAGAAAAUUUGCACGCACGAAUAUAAUUUUGUUAAAUCACAGGAACGUGAUUUUGCGUUGAUUCUUUUUGCUGAUGUUCAAUAAACAAAUUUUCCAAGACUUCCUAUUUUGGUAGGUGUUUUAGAUUUCCAGAAGUUUGCAUUAGUUACAGAUUGCUACAGACUGUUCUGUUUUUGGCAGAUUCUGUUUUUCGUGUGUUGUUUGCUUAUUUCAAUGCAUCUAUGGCUAGUAAAUUAGUUUAUAAACCAUAAGGAAGUUGGAAUACAGUAGGUUUAAUACCAAAAUAAAUAAAGAAUGAGUUCAUUGCAGUACCUUAUGUGGUGGUUUUGUUUUCUUUCACUAACGGAGCUUAUAAGAUUUCCUGUUGAGUUUUGUGUUGUGAAGUUUUCAAGUUUCGGGUAAAGCUUUUAUGGAUUAUGGAAUAAGGAGUGGCAAGAGCCUAAGCUUGGGGAUGCCCAUGGAACCCCAAGAUAUUCAAGGAUAGCCAAAAGCCUAAGCUUGGGGAUGCCCAGGGAAGUCAUCCCCUCUUUCGUCUUCGUCCAUUGGUAACUUUACUUGGAGCUAUAUUUUUAUUCGCCACAUGAUAUGUGUUUUGCUUGGAGCGUCGUGUAUUAUAUUAGUCUUUCUUUUUAGUUUACCACAAUCAUCCUUGCUGUACACACAUUUUGGGAGAAGCCUAUUUGAUUAGAAUUUGCUAGAAUACUCUAUGUGCUUCACUUAUAUCUUUUGAGCUUGAUAGUUUUUGCUCUAGUGCUUCACUUAUAUCUUUUAGAGCACGGUGGUGUCUUAAUUUUUAAGAAAUUGCUAGUCUCUCAUGCUUCACUUAUAUCUUUUUGAGAGUAUUUUAGAACAGCAUGUUAUUUGCUAUGGUCAUAAAGUUGGUCCUAGAAUGAUGAGCAUCCAAGUUGGGUAUAAUAAAAACUAUCAUAGGAAAAGAAUUGGAUGCUAUGAUCAACUUGAUUCUUGAUAAUUGUUUUGAGAUAUAAAGGUAGUAAUGUUAGGGUCAUGCUAGUGGGUAAUUAUGAAAUUGAGAAAUACUUUUGUUGAAGUUGGCAAGUCCCGUAGCAUGCACGUAUGGUAAAAGUUGUGUGACAAAUUUGUUGCAUGAGGUGCUCUUUUGAGUGUCUUCCUUAUGAGUGGCAGUCGGGGACGAGCGAUGGUCUUUUCCUACCAAUCUAUCCCUCUUGGGGCAUGCAUAGUAGUACUUUGCUUCGAGGGCUAAGUAGGCUUUUGCAACAAGUAUAUGAGUUCUCUUUUGACUAAUGUGAGUCCAUGGACAUAGGCACACUCAUUCUUUUUACGUUGCUAGCCUUUAUUAUUACCGCGCAACUUCCGUUGGUAUCAUAAACCCCUUAUUUACCUUCCUCAAAACAGCCACCAUACCUACCUAUUAUGGCAUUUCCAUAGCCAUUCUGAGAUAUAUUGCCAUGCAACUUUCCACCGUUCCGUUUAUUAUGACACGUUCCAUUAUUGUCAUAUUGCUCUUUGCAUGAUCAUGUAGUUGACAUCGUAUUUGUGGCAAGGCCACCUUCAUAAUUUUCAUACAUGUCGCUGUUGAUUCAUUGCGGUGUGUUCUUCUUCUUCUUUUUGCGGUGUGUUUGUUGAGACCGAUGAAUUGUGGGUUUAUGAUCUAGUUUAUCUAUGAACAAUAUUUGAAUCUUCUCUGAAUACUUUUAUGUAUGAUUGAGUUAUCUUUGCAAGUCUCUUCGAAUUAUCGGUUUGGUUUGGCCAAGUAGAUUGGUAGUUCUUGCAAUGGGAGAAAUGCUUAGCUUUGGGUUCAAUCUUGCAUUGUCCUUUCCCAGUGACAGAAGGGGCAGCAAGGCACAUAUUAUAUUGUUGCCAUCGAGGAUAACAAGAUGGUUUUUUUUAUCAUAUUGCAUGAAUUUAUCCCUCUACAUCAUGUCAUCUUGCUUAAGGCGUUACUCUGUUUUUAACUUAAUACUCUAGAUGCAUGCUGGAUAGCAGUCGAUGAGUGGAGUAAUAGUAGUAGAUGCAGAAUCGUUUCGAUCUACUUGUCUCGGACGUGAUGCCUAUAUACAUGAUCAUACCUAGAUAUACUCAUAACUAUGCUCAAUUCUGUCAAUUGCUCAACAGUAAUUUGUUCACCCACCGUAGUAAGCUUAUGCUCUUGAGAGAAGCCACUAGUGAAACCUAUGGCCCCCGGGUCUAUUCUCAUCAUAUCAAUCUCUAUCGCUUUAUUACUUGCUUUGUUACUCUCACUUUGCAUCUAUCUAUCAAAAAUACCAAAAAAAUUAUUUAUCAUCUCUAUCAAAUCUCACUCUCGUAAGUGACCAUGAAGGGAUUGACAACCCCUAAUCGCGUUGGUUGCGAGUAGCUAUCGUUUUGUGUAGGUACGAGGGACUUGUGCGUGGUCUCCUACUGGAUUGAUACCUUGGUUCUCAAAAACUGAGGGAAAUACUUACGCUACUUUGCUGCAUCAUCCUCUCCUCUUCGGGGAAAUCCAACGCAGUGCUCAAGAGGUAGCAAGAAGAAUUUCUGGCGCCGUUGCCGGGGAGGCGAAUGCAAGCAAGUCAACCAUACCAAGUACCUAUCACAAUCCCUAUCUCUCGCAUUACAUUAUUUGCCAUUUGCCUCUCGUUUUACUCUCCCCCACUUCACCCUUGCCGUUUUAUUCGCCCUCUCUUUCCCAAUCUCCUACUCUCUUUCCGUUUGCCUUUUCCCAUUGCCUUUCUGUUUGCUUGUGUGUUGGAUUACUUGUUGCCAUGGCACAAGAUAAUACCAAAUUGUGUGAUUUCUCGAAUACCAACAAUAAUGAUUUCCUUAGUACUCCGAUUGCUCCUCUUAAUAAUGAUGAGUCCUGUGAAAUCAAUACGCUUUGCUGAAUCUUGUUAUGAAAGAUCAUUUCACCGGCCUUCCUAGUGAAGAUGCCGCUACUCAUCUAAACAACUUUGUUGAUUUGUGUGAUAUGCAAAAGAAGAAAGAUACGGAUAACAAUAUUGUCAAAUUGAAGUUAUUUCCGUUUUCACUUAGAGAUCGUGCUAAAGUUUGGUUUUCGUCUUUGCCUAAAAAUAGUAUUGAUUCUUGGAACAAGUGCAAAGAUGCUUUUAUCUCUAAGUAUUUUCCUCCCGCUAAGAUCAUCAUUCUUAGGAACGAUAUUAUGAAUUUUAAACAACUUGAUCAUGAGCAUGUUUCCCAAUCUUGGGAAAGAAUGAAAUUGAUGCUUCGCAAUUGCCCUACUCACGGUUUGAAUUUAUGGAUAAUCAUACAAAUUUUUUAUGCCGGAUUGAAUUUUGCUUCUAGAAAUCUUUUAGAUUCGGCCGCGGGAGGCACGUUUAUGGAAAUUACGUUAGGAGAUGCUAAAAUUGCUUGAUAAUAUUAUGGCUAAUUAUUCUCAAUGGCACACCGAAUGAUCUUCUAGUAAAAAAGUGCAUGCUAUAGAAGAAAUCAAUGUUUUGAGUGAAAAGAUGGAUGAACUUAUGAAGAUGUUUGCUCCUAAAAAUACUCUCUUGAUCCCAAUGAUAUGCCUUUGUCUACUUUGCUUGAGAAUAAUAAUGAAUCUAUGGAUGUGAAUUUUGUUGGUAGGAAUAGUUUUGGAAACAACGCGUAUAGAGGGAAUUUUCCUAGGCCUUAUCCUAGUAAUCCUUCUAAUAAUUAUGGAAAUUCCUGCAACAACUCUUAUGGAAAUUUUAAUAAGAUGCCCUCUGGAUUUGAGAAUAGUGUGAAAGAGUUUACGAAUUCACAAAAGAAUUUUAAUGCUUUGCUUGAAGAGAAAUUGCUUAAAGUUGAUGAUUUGGCUAGGAACGUUGAUAGAAUUUCUCUUGAAAUUGAUUCUUUAAAGCUUAGAUCUAUUCCUCCUAAGCAUGAUAUCAAUGAGUCUCUCAAAUCCAUGAGAAUUUCCAUUGAUGAGUGCAAAGAAAGAACCGCUAGGAUGCCUGCUUCCAAAGAUGCCUUUUUUAAAGCGUGUUCUUCCAAUUCCUAUGAAAAUCAAGAUGAAGAUCUAAAAGUUAUUGAUGUGUCCCCUAUUAAAUCUUUGUUUUGCAAUAUGAAUCUUGAUGAAACUGAAUAUGAUCUUCCUUUACCUAGAAGGCGUUCUAAGAAUUUGGAGUUUCUAGAUCUUGAUGAUGAAUUUGAUAAAAGUGGGAUUGAAAGAAAUAAAAACCUAGAUGUUGCUAAACCCACUAUUUUGGAUCUCAAGGAAUUUAAUUAUGAAAGUUGCUCUUUAAUUGGUUGUAUUUCCUUGUUGCAAUCCGUGCUAGAUUCUCCUCAUGCUUAUAGUCAAAAUAAGGCCUUUACCGAACACAUUGUUGAUGCAUUGAUGCAAUCUUAUGAAGAAAAACUUGAGUUGAAAGUUUCUAUACCUAGAAAACUCUAUGAUGAGUUGGAACCUACUAUUAAAAUUAAAAUUAAAGAUUAUGAGUUUCAUGCUUUGUGUGAUUUGGGUGCUAGUGUCUCUACUAUUCCCAAAACUUUAUGUGAUUUGCUAGAUUUUCGUGACUUUGAUGAUUGCUCUCUAAACUUGCAUCUUGCGGAUUCCACUAUUAAAAAGCCUAUGGGAAGAAUUAGUGAUAUUCUUAUUGUUGCCAAUAGGAAUUAUGUGCCCGUAGAUUUUAUAGUUCUUGAUAUAGAUUGCAAUCCUUCAUGUCCUAUUAUUCUUGGUAGACCUUUCCUUAGAACGAUUGGUGCAAUUAUUGAUAUGAAGGAAGGGAAUAUUAGAUUCCAAUUUCCCUUGAAGAAGGGCAUGGAACACUUACCUAGAAAGAAAAUAAAAUUACCAUAUGAAUUUAUCAUGAGAGCCACUUAUGGAUUGCCUACCAAAGAUGGCAAUACCUAGAUCUAUCCUUGCUUUUAUGCCUAGCUAGGGGCGUUAAACAAUAGCGCUUGUUGGGAGGCAACCCAAUUUUAUUUUUGUUUUUUUGUUUUUGCUUCUGUUUAGGAAUAAAUAAUCCAUCUAGCCUCUGUUUGGAUGUGGUUUUAUGUUUUAAUUAGUGUUUGUGCCAAGUAGAACCUAUAGGAUAACCUACGAUGAUAGUUGAUUUGAUUCUGCUGAAAAACAGAAACUUUGCACGCACGAAUAUAAUUUUGUUAAAUCACAGGAACGUGCUUUUGCGUUGAUUCUUUUUGAUGCUGAUCAAUAAAGAAAUUGUACAGGACUUCCUAUUUUUGUAGGAGUUUUAGAGUUCCAGAAGUUUGCGUUAGUUACAGAUUACUACAGACUGUUCUGUUUUUGACAGAUUCUGUUUUUCGUGUGUUGUUUGCUUAUUUUGAUGACUCUAUGGCUAGUAAAAUAGUUUAUAAUCCAUAGAGAAGUUGGAAUACAGUAGGUUUAACACCAAUAUAAAUAAAUAAUGAGUUCAUUACAGUACCUUGAAGUAGUUCUUUGUUUUCUUUCUCUAACGGAGCUCACGAGAUUUAUGUUGAGUUUUGUGUUGUGAAGUUUUCAAGUUUUGGGUGAAUUCUUUUGAUGGAUUAUGGAACAAGGAGUGUCAAGAGCCUAAGCUUGGGGAUGACCAUGGCACCCCCAAGAUAAUCCAAGGACACCAAAAAGUCAAAGCUUGGGGAUGCCCCGGAAGGCAUCCCCUCUUUCGUCCACUUCCAUCGGUAAUUUACUUGGAGCUAUAUUUUUAUUCACCACAUGAUAUGUGUUUUUCUUGGAGCGUCUUGUAUCAUUUGCGUCUUUGCUUGUUAGUUUACCACAAUCAUCCUUGAUGUACACACCUUUUGAGAGAGCCAUACAUGAAUUGGAAUAUGUUAGAAUACUCUAUGUGCUUCACUUAUAUCUUUUGAGCUUAAUAGUUUUGCUCAUUGUGCUUCAUUUAUAUCUUUUGAGCGUGAUAAUUUUUGCUCUAGUACUUCACUUAGAUAUUUUAGAGCACGGUGGUGGAUUUGUUUUAAAGAAACUAUUGAUCUCUCAUGCUUCACUUAGAUUAUUUUGAGAGUCAUUAAUAGCAUGGUAAUUUGCUUAAUGUUAAUAUACUUGGUAUUCAAGAUAUGUGAAACUUUCUUUUGAGUGAAUUGAAUACCAAGAUAAAUUUGAUGCUUGAUAAUUGUUUUGAGACAUGGAGGUGAUAAUACCAAAGUCGUGCUAGUUGAGUAAUUAUGAAUUUGAGAAAUGCUUGUGUUGAAGUUUGCAAGUCCCGUAGCAUGCACGUAUGGUUAAAGUUGUGUAACAAAUUUGAAACAUGAAGUGUACCUGGCUUGUGCAUCCUUAUGAGUGGCAGUCGGGGACGAGCGAUGGUGUUUUCCUACCAAUCUAUCCCCCUAGGAGCAUGCGCGUAGUGCUUGAUUUUUGAUGACUUUUAAAUUUUUGCAAUAAGUAUAUGAGUUCUUUUGACUAAUGUUGAGUCCAUGGAUUAUACGCACUCUCACCUUUCCACCUUUGCUAGCCUCUUCGGUACCGUGCAUUGCCUUUUCUCACCUUGAGAGUUGGUGCAAACUUCACCGGUGCAUCCAAACCCCGUGAUACGAUAUGCUCUAUCACACAUAAACCUCCUUAUAUCUUCCUCAAAACAGCCACCAUACCUACCUAUCAUGGCAUUUCCAUAGCCAUUCCGAGAUAUAUUGCCAUGCAACUUCCAUCAUCAUCAUCAUGACAUACAUUACUUUUGUCAUAUUGCCAUUGCAUGAUCAUGUAGUUGACAUCGUAUUUGUGGCAAAGCCACCAUGCAUUAUUUUUCAUACAUGUCACUCUUGAUUCAUUGCACCAUUCCGGUACACCGCCGGUGGCAUUCAUAUAGAGUCAUAUCUUGUUCUAAGUUUCGAGAUGUAAUCCUUAUGUUGUAAUCAAUAGAAGUGUGAUGAUCAACAUUAUUAGAGCAUUGCCCAAAUAAAAAAAAGGAGAAAGGCCAAAAAAGAAAAAAAUGUUGGAAAUAUGCCCUAGAGGCAAUAAUAAAAGUAUUAUUAUUAUAUUUCCUUGUUCAUGAUAAUUGUUUUUUAUUCAUGCUAUAACUGUAUUAUCCGGAAAUCGUAAUACACGUGUGAAUACAUAGACCACAAUAUGUCCCUAGUGAGCCUCUAGUUGACUAGCUCGUUGUGAUCAACAGAUAGUCAUGGUUUCCUGGCUAUGGACAUUGGAUGUCGUUGAUAACGGGAUCACAUCAUUAGGAGAAUGAUGUGAUGGACAAGACCCAAUCCUAAGACUAGCACAAAAGAUCGUGUAGUUCAUUUGCUAGAGCUUUGCCAAUGUCAAGUAUCUCUUCCUUUGACCAUGAGAUCGUGUAACUCCUGGAUACCGUAGGAGUGCUUUGGGUGUAUCAAACGUCACAACGUAACUGGGUGACUAUAAAGAUGCACUACAGGUAUCUCCGAAAGUAUCUAGUGUUUUAUGCGGAUCGAGACUGGGAUUUGUCACUCCGUGUAAACGGAGAGGUAUCUCUGGGCCCACUCGGUAGGACAUCAUCAUAUGCGCAAUGUGACCAAGGAGUUGAUCACGGGAUGAUGUGUUACGGAACGAGUAAAGUGACUUGCCGGUAACGAGAUUGAACAAGGUAUCGGUAUACCGACGAUCGAAUCUCGGGCAAGUAAAAUACCACUAGACAAAGGGAAUUGUAUACGGGAUCGAUUGAGUCCUUGACAUCGUGGUUCAUCCGAUGAGAUCAUCGUGGAACAUGUGGGAGCCAACAUGGGUAUCCAGAUCCCGCUGUUGGUUAUUGACCGGAGAACGUCUCGGUCAUGUCUGCAUGUCUCCCGAACCCGUAGGGUCUACACACUUAAGGUUCGAUGACGCUAGGGUUAUAAAGGAAGCUUGUAUGUGGUAACCGAAUGUUGUUCGGAGUCCCGGAUGAGAUCCCGGACGUCACGAGGAGUUCCGGAAUGGUCCGGAGGUAAAGAUUUAUAUAUAGGAAGUCCUGUUUCGGCCAUCGGGACAAGUUUCGGGGUCAUCGGUAUUGUACCGGGACCACCGGAAGGGUCCCGGGGGCCCACCGGGUGGGGCCACCUGCCCCGGGGGGCCACAUGGGCAGUAGGGGGUGCGCCUUGGCCCACAUGGGCCAAGGGCACCAGCCCCAAGAGGCCCAUGCGCCUAGGGAACCCUAGAGGGAAGAGUCCUCAAGGGGGAAGGCACCUCCGAGGUGCCUUGGGGAGGAUGGACUCCCCCCCUCUUGGCCGCACCCCAAAACCCAUCUAGGGCUGGCCGCCGCCCCUAGGGGGUGGGAAAACCCUAAAGGGGGCGCAAACCCCUUCCCCCCUAUAUAUAUUGAGGCAUGGGGCUGCCCAUAACACGCGAUUUGAUCUCUCGUUGGUGCAGCCCUGCCCCUCUCCCUCCUCCUCCUCUCCCAUGGUGCUUGGCGAAGCCCUGCUGGAUUGCCACGCUCCUCCACCACCACCACGCCGUUGUGCUGCUGCUGGAUGGAGUCUUCCUCAACCUCUCCCUCUCUCCUUGCUGGAUCAAGGCGUGGGAGACGUCACUGGGCUGUACGUGUGUUGAACGCGGAGGUGCCGUGCGUUCGGCACUUGAUCAUCGGUGAUCUGAAUCACGACGACUACGACUCCAUCAACCCCGUUCACUUGAACGCUUCCGCUUAGCGAUCUACAAGGGUAUGUAGAUGCACUCUCUUUCUACUCGUUGCUGGUCUCUCCAUAGAUAGAUCUUGGUGACACGUAGGAAAAUUUUGAAUUUCUGCUACAUUCCCCAACAGUGGCAUCAUGAGCUAGGUCUAUUGCGUAGAUUCUUUGCACGAGUAGAACACAAAGUAGUUGUGGGCGUUGAUGUUGUUCAAUAUGCUUACCGUUACUAGUCCAAUCUUGUUUCGACGGUAUUGUGGGAUGAAGCGGCCCGGACCGACCUUACACGUACUCUUACGUGAGACAGGUUCCACCGAUUGACAUGCACUUGGUGCAUAAGGUGGCUAGCGGGUGCCAGUCUCUCCCACUUUAGUCGGAACGGAUUCGAUGAAAAGGGUCCUUAUGAAGGGUAAAUAGCAAUUGGCAUAUCACGUUGUGGUUUUGCGUAGGUAAGAAACGUUCUUGCUAGAAACCCAUAGCAGCCACGUAAAACAUGCAAACAACAAUUAGAGGACGUCUAACUUGUUUUUGCAGGGUAUGCUAUGUGAUGUGAUAUGGCCAAAAGGAUGUGAUGAAUGAUAUAUGUGAUGUAUGAGAUUGAUCAUGUUCUUGUAAUAGGAUUCACGACUUGCAUGUCGAUGAGUAUGACAACCGGCAGGAGCCAUAGGAGUUGUCUUUAUUUUUUGUAUGACCUGCGUGUCAUUGAAGAACGCCAUGUAACUUACUUCACUUUAUUGCUAAACGUGUUAGUCAUAGAAGUAGAAGUAGUCAUUGGCGUGACAACUUCAUGAAGACACGAUGAUGGAGAUCAUGAUGAUGGAGAUCAUGGUGUCAAGCCGGUGACAAGAUGAUCAUGGAGCCCCGAAGAUGAAGAUCAAAAGGAGCAAAAUGAUAUUGGCCAUAUCAUGUCACUAUUUGAUUGCAUGUGAUGUUUAUCAUGUUUAUGCAUCUUGUUUACUUAGGACGACGGUAGUAAAUAAGAUGAUCCCUUACAAAAUUUCAAGAAGUGUUCUCCCCUAACUGUGCACCGUUGCUACAGUUCGUCGCUUCUAAGCACCAUGUGAUGAUCGGGUGUGAUGGAUUCUUACGUUCACAUACAACGGGUGUAAGACAGUUUUACACAGCGAAAACACUUAGGGUUAACUUGACGAGCCUAGCAUGUGCAGACAUGGCCUCGGAACACGGAGACCGAAAGGUCGAGCAUGAGUCGUAUGGUAGAUACGAUCAACAUGAAGAUGUUCACCGAUGAUGACUAGUCCGUCUCACGUGAUGAUCGGACACGGGCUAGUUGACUCGGAUCAUGUAAUCACUUAGAUGACUAGAGGGAUGUCUAUCUGAGUGGGAGUUCAUAAGAUGAGCUUAAUUAUCUUGAACAUAGUCAAAAGACCUUUUAAAAAUUAUGUCGUAGCUCGCGCUUUAGUUCUACUGUUUUAGAUAUGUUCCUAGAGAAAAUAUAGUUGAAAGUUGAAAGUAGCAAUUAUGCAGACAGUACAUAGCUUAUGUCCUUAAUGCACCGCUUAGUGUGCUAAACCCCAAAUGUCGUUUGUGGAUGUUUCAAACAUCGAACAUACACGUUUUGAUAACUACGUGAUAGUUCAGUUAAAUGGUUUAAGUAGAGGCACCAAAGACGUUUUCGAAACGUCGCGGAACAUAUGAGAUGUUUCGAGGGCUGAAAUUGGGAUUUCAGGCUCGUGCCCACGUCAAGAGGUAUAAGACCUCCGACGAUCUUCUUAACUUGCAAACUAAGGGAGAAAAGCUCUAUCGUUGAGCUUGUGCUCAGAUUGUCUGAGUGCAACAAUCACUUGAAUCGAGUGGGAGUUGAUCUUCCAGAUGAGAUAGUGAUGUUUCCCCAAAGUCAUUGCCACCAAGCUGCUAGAGCUUCGUGAUGAACUAUAACAUAUCAAGGAUAGAGAUGAUGAUCCUUGAGGUAUUCGCGAUGUUUGACACCGCGAAAGUAGAAAUCAAGAAGGAGCAUCAAUUGUUGAUGGUUGAUGAAACCACUAGUUUCAAGAAGGGCAAGGGAAAGAAGGGAUACUUCAUGAAACGGCAAAUCAGCUGCUGCACUAAUGAAGAAACCCGAGGUUGAACCCAAACCCGAGACUAAGUGCUUCUGUAAUAAGGGGAACAACCACUGGAGCAAGAUUACCCUAGAUACUUGGUAGAUGAGAAGGCUGGCAAGGUCGAUAGAAGUAUAUUGGAUAUACAUUAUGUUAAAUGUGUACUUUACUAGUACUCCUAGUAGCACCAGGGUAUUAGAUACCGGUUCGGUUGCUAAGUGUUAGUAACUCGAAAUAAAAGCUACGGAAUAAAACGGAGACUAGCUAAAGGUGAGCUGACGAUACGUGUUGGAAGUGUUUCCAAGUUUGAUGUGAUCUAACAUCGCAUGCUCCCUCUACCAUCAAGAUUAGUAUUAAACCUGAAUAAGUGCUCUUGCACCUAAAGGAAUGGUUUAUUGAAUCUCGGUCGUAGUGAUACACAUUUUCAUGCCAAAAGAUAUAAGAUAGUAAUGAUAGUACCACUUACUUGUGGCACUGCCAUGUAAGUCAUAAUGGUAUAAAACGCAUGAAGAAGCUCCAUGUUGAUGGAUCUUUGGACUCACUCGUUUUUGAAAAGUUUGAGACAUGCGAACCAUGUCUAUUGGUAUAUAUGCAUAAAGAAGCUCCGUGCAAAUGGAUCGUUUUGGAUCACUUGAGAUAUGCAAAUCAUACCAGAUAGGCAAGAUGACUGAAAAGCCUCGGUUUCAGUAAAAUGGAACAAGAUAGCAACUUGUUGGAAGCAACACAUUUUGAUGUGUGUAGUCCAAUGAGUGCUGAGGCAUGCAGUUAAUAUCGUUAUGUUCUUCACAGAUGAUUCGAGUAGAUGUUGAGAAUAUUUACUUGAUGAAACACAAGUCUGAAUUAUUGAAUGGUUCAAGUAAUUUCAGAGUGAAGUAGCAGAUCAUUGUGACAAGAGGAUAAAAUGUCUAUGAUAUGAUCAUAGAGAUGAAUAUCUGAGUUACGAGUUUUGGCACACAAUUAAGACAUUGUGGAAAUUGUUUCGCAAUUAAUACCGCCUGGAACACCAUAAUAUGAUGGUGUGUCCGAACAUCAUAGUUGCACCCUAUUGGAUAUGGUGCGUACCAUGAUGUCUCUUAUCGAAUUACCACUAUCGUUCAUGGGUUAGGCAUUAGAGACAACCACAUUCACUUUAAAUAGGGCACCGCGUAAUUCCAUUGAGACGACACCGUUUGAAUUAUGGUUUAGAGAAACCUAAGUUGUCGUUUCUUAAAGGUUUGGGGCUGCGACGCUUAUGUGAAAAAGUUUCAGCUUGAUAAGCUCGAACCCAAAGCGGACAAAAUGCAUCUUCAUAGGACACCCAAAACAGUUGGGUAUACCUCCUGUCUCAGAUCCGAAAGCAAUAAGGGAUUGUUUCUAGAAUCAGGUCCUUUCUCGAGGAAAAGUUUCUCUCGAAAGAAUUGAGUGGGAGGAUGGUGGAAACUUGAUGAGGUUAUUGAACCGUCUCUUCAACUAGUGUGUGGCAGGGCACAGGAAGUUGUUCCUGUGGCACCUACACCAAUUGAAGUGGAAGCUUAUGAUAUUGAUCAUGAAACUUCGGAUCAAGUCACUACCAAACCUCGUGGGAUGACAAGGAUACGUACUACUUCAGAGUGGUACGUAAUCCUGUCUUGAAGGUCAUGUUGCUAAACAACAAUGAACCUACGAGCUAUGGAGAAGCGAUGGUGGGCCCAGAUUCCGAUAAAUGGCUUGAGGCCAUAAAAUCCGAGAAAGGAUCCAUGUAUGAAAACAAAGUGUAGACUUUGGCAGAACGGCUCGAUGGUCGUAAGGCAAAUGAGUACAGAUGGAUUUCAAAAGGAAGACGGACAAUGAUGGUAAAUGUCACCAUUAAGAAAGCUCGACUUGUCGUUAAGAUGUUUUCCGACAAGUUCAAGGAGUUGACUACGAUGAGAUUUUCUCACUCGUAGCGAUGCUAAGAGUCUGUUGGAAUUAUAUUAGCGAUUACUGCAUUAUUUAUGAAAUCUUGCAGAUAGGAUGUCAAAAAACAUUGUUUCCUCGAUGAUUUUAAUGAGGAAAGGUUGUAUAUGAUACAACCGGAAGGUUUUGUCAAUCCCGAAAGAUGCUAAUAAGUAUGCAAAUCUCCAGCAAUCCUUCUAAGGACUGGAGUGAGCAUCUCGGAGUUGGAAUGUGUGCUUUGAUGAUGAUCAAAGAUUUUGGGUUUGUACAAAGUUUACGAGAAACUUGUAUUUCCAAAGAAGUGAGUGGGAGCACUAUAGAAUUUCUGAUGAGUAUAUGUUGAUCAGAAAUGAUGUAGAAUUUCUAGAAAGCAUAUAGGGUUAUUUGAAAGGUGUUUUUCAAUGGAAAACCUGGAUUAGGCUACUUGAACAAUAAGCAUCAAGAUCUAUAAGAUAGAUCAAAAUGCUUAAUAAUACUUUCAAAUGAGCACAUACCUUGACAUGAUCUUGAAGGUGUUCAAGAUGGACCAGUCAAAGAAGGAGUUCUUGCCUGAGUUGUAAGGUACGAAGUUAAGACUUAAAGCUCGACCACGGCAGAAUAGAGAGAAAGGACGAAGGUCGUCCCUUAUGCUUAAGACGUAGGCUCUUCAGUAUGCUAUGCAGUGUACCGCACCUGAAGUGUGCCUUGCCAUGAGUCAGUCAAGGGGUACAAGAGUGAUCCAAGAAUGGCUCACAGGACAGCGGUCAAAGUUAUCCUUAGUAACUAGUGGACUAAGGAAUUUUCUCGAUUAUGGAGGUGGUAAAAGAGUUCGUCGUAAAGGGUUAUGUCGAUGCAAGCUUAACACCUAUCCGGAUAGCUCUGAGUAGAGAGACCGGAUACAUAUAAUGGAGUAACAAUUUAGAAUAGCUCCAAGUAGAACAGUUAUUUGGAAUAGCUCCAAAUAGAGCGUGGUAGCUGCAUCUAGGAGAUGACAUAAAGAUUUGUAAAGCACACACGGAUCUGAAAGGUUCAGACCCAUUGACUAAAACCUCUCUCACAAGCAACAUGAUCAAACAUAAAACUCAUUGAGUGUUAAUCACAUAGUGAUGUGAACUAGACUACUGACUCUAGUAAACUCUUGGGUAUUAGUCACAUGGCGAUGUGACCUGUGAGUGUUAAUCACAUGGCGAUGUGAACUAGAUUAUUGACUCUAGUGCAAGUGGGAGACUGUUGGAAAUAUGCCCUAGAGGCAAUAAUAAAAAUAUUAUUAUUAUAUUUCCUUGUUCAUGAUAAUUUUCUUUUAUUCAUGCUAUAACUAUAUUAUCCGGAAAUCGUAAUACACGUGUGAAUACAUAGACCACAAUAUGUCCCUAGUGAGCCUCUAGUUGACUAGCUCGUUGUGAUCAACAGAUAGUCAUGGUUUCCUGGCUAUGGACAUUGGAUGUCGUUGAUAACGGGAUCACAUCAUUAGGAGAAUGAUGUGAUGGACAAGACCCAAUCCUAAGACUAGCACAAAAGAUCGUGUAGUUCAUUUGCUAGAGCUUUGCCAAUGUCAAGUAUCUCUUCCUUUGACCAUGAGAUCGUGUAACUCCUGGAUACCGUAGGAGUGCUUUGGGUGUAUCAAACGUCACAACGUAACUGGGUGACUAUAAAGAUGCACUACAGGUAUCUCCGAAAGUAUCUAGUGUUUUAUGCGGAUCGAGACUGGGAUUUGUCACUCCGUGUAAACGGAGAGGUAUCUCUGGGCCCACUCGGUAGGACAUCAUCAUAUGCGCAAUGUGACCAAGGAGUUGAUCACGGGAUGAUGUGUUACGGAACGAGUAAAGUGACUUGCCGGUAACGAGAUUGAACAAGGUAUCGGUAUACCGACGAUCGAAUCUCGGGCAAGUAACAUACCGCUAGACAAAGGGAAUUGUAUACGGGAUCGAUUGAGUCCUUGACAUCGUGGUUCAUCCGAUGAGAUCAUCGUGGAACAUGUGGGAGCCAACAUGGGUAUCCAGAUCCCGCUGUUGGUUAUUGACCGGAGAACGUCUCGGUCAUGUCUGCAUGUCUCCCGAACCCGUAGGGUCUACACACUUAAGGUUCGAUGACGCUAGGGUUAUAAAGGAAGCUUGUAUGUGGUAACCGAAUGUUGUUCGGAGUCCCGGAUGAGAUCCCGGACGUCACGAGGAGUUCCGGAAUGGUCCGGAGGUAAAGAUUUAUAUAUAGGAAGUCCUGUUUCGGCCAUCGGGACAAGUUUCGGGGUCAUCGGUAUUGUACCGGGACCACCGGAAGGGUCCCGGGGGCCCACCGGGUGGGGCCACCUGCCUCGGGGGGCCACAUGGGCUGUAGGGGGUGCGCCUUGGCCCACAUGGGCCAAGGGCACCAUCCCCAAGAGGCCCAUGCGCCUAGGGAACCCUAGAGGGAAGAGUCCUCAAGGGGGAAGGCACCUCCGAGGUGCCUUGGGGAGGAUGGACUCCCCCCCCCUCUUGGCCGCACCCCAAAACCCAUCUAGGGCUGGCCGCCGCCCCUAGGGGGUGGGAAAACCCUAAAGGGGGCGCAGCCCCCUUCCCCCCUAUAUAUAUUGAGGCAUGGGGCUGCCCAUAACACGCGAUUUGAUCUCUCGUUGGUGCAGCCCUGCCCCUCUCCCUCCUCCUCCUCUCCCAUGGUGCUUGGCGAAGCCCUGCUGGAUUGCCACGCUCCUCCACCACCACCACGCCGUUGUGCUGCUGCUGGAUGGAGUCUUCCUCAACCUCUCCCUCUCUCCUUGCUGGAUCAAGGCGUGGGAGACGUCACCGGGAUGUACGUGUGUUGAACGCGGAGGUGCCGUGCGUUCGGCACUUGAUCAUCGGUGAUCUAAAUCACGACGAGUAUGACUCCAUCAACCCCGUUCACUUGAACGCUUCCGCUUAGCGAUCUACAAGGGUAUGUAGAUGCACUCUCUUUCUACUCGUUGCUGGUCUCUCCAUAGAUAGAUCUUGGUGACACGUAGGAAAAUUUUGAAUUUCUGCUACGUUCCCCAACAAAAAAAAGGGCCAAAAAAAUAAAAAAAAUAAAAAUAAAAAAGGGCAAUGCUACUAUCUCUUUUCCACACUUGUGCUUCAAAGUAGCACCUUGUUCUUCAUGUAGUGAGUCUCAUAUAUUGUUCUUCAGAGUAGCACCUUGUUCUUCAUGUAGUGAGUCUCAUAAGUUGUCUUUUUAUACUAGUGGGAAUUUUUCAUUAUAGAACUUGGCUUGUAUAUUCCUACGAUGGGCUUCCUCAAAUGCCCUGGGUCUUCGUGAGCAAGCGAGUUGGAUGCACACACACUAGUUUUCUUUUGUUGAGCAUUCAUAGCUCUAUUGCAUCCAUUGCAUGGCAAUCCCUACUCCUCAUGUUGACAUCAAUUGAUGGACAUCUCCAUAGCCCGUUGAUUAUCCUCGUCAAUGUGAGACUUUUUUUUGUCUUCUCCACACAAUCCCCAUCAUCAUAUUCUAUUCCACCCAUAGUGCUAUAUCAAUGGCUCACGCUCAUGUAUUGCGUGAAGGUUGAAAAAGUUUGAGAUUAUUUAAGUAUGAAACAAUUGCUUGGCUUGUCAUCGGGGGUAUAGAAGUUGGGAACAUCUUUGUGUGACGAAAAUGAAGCAUAGCCUAAUUAUAUGAUAUUGUAGGGAUGAACUUUCUUUUGCCAUGCUAUUUUGAGAAGACAUGAUUGCUUUGAUUAGUAUGCUUGAAGUAUUAUUAUUUUUGUGUCAAUAUGAACUUUUGUCUUGAAUCUUUUGGAUCUGAAUAUUCAUGCCACAAUUAAGAAGAUUUACAUUGAAAUUAUGCCAAAGUAUCACUCCGCAUCAAAAAUUCUUUUUUUUAUCAUUUACCUACUCGAGGACGAGCAGGAAUUAAGCUUGGGGAUGCAUGAUACGUCUCCAACGUAUCCAUAAUUUUUGAUUGCUCCAUGCUACUUUAUCUACUGUUUUGGACUAUAUUGGGCUUUAUUUUCCACUUUUAUAUUAUUUUUGGGACUAACCUAUUAAUCGGAGGCCCAGCCCAACAUUGCUGUUUUUUUGCCUAUUUCAGUGUUUCGAAGAAACAGAAUAUCAAACGGAAUGAAACCUUCGGGAACGUGAUUUUCUCACCGAAUGUCAUCCAGGAGACUUGGAACCUACUCCAAGACGUAACAGAUGCGGUCACGAAGGUGGGGGGCGCCCCCCCAGGGCGCCCCCCUGCCUCGUGGCCCCCCUGUUGCUCCACCGACGUACUCCUUCCUCCUAUAUAUACCUACGUAUCCCCAAACGAUCAGAACAGGAGCCAGAAACCUAAUUCCACCGCCGCAACCUUCUGUAUCGACGAGAUUCCAUCUUGGGGCCUGUUCCGGAGCUCCGCUGGAGGGGGCAUCCACCACGGAGGGCUUCCACAUCAACACCAUAGCCCCUCCGAUGAAGUGUGAGUAGUUUACUUCAGACCUUCGGGUCCAUAGCUAGUAGCUAGAUGGCUUCUUCUCUCUUUUUGGAUCUCAAUACAAUGUUCUCCCCCUCUCUCGUGGAGAUCUAUUAGAUGCAAUCUUCUUCUUUUUGCGGUGUGUUUGUUGAGACCGAUGAAUUGUGGGUUUAUGAUCCAGUUUAUCUAUGAACAAUAUUUGAAUCUUCUCUGCAUUCUUUUAUGUAUGAUUGAGUUAUCUUUGCAAGUCUCUUCGAAUUAUCUGUUUGGUUUGGCCAACUAGAUUGGUAGUUCUUGCAAUGGGAGAAGUGCUUAGCUUUGGGUUCAAUCUUGUGGUGUCCUUUCCCAGUGACAGAAGAGGCAGCAAGGCACAUAUUGUAUUGUUGCCAUCGAGGAUAACAAGAUGGUUUUUUUAUCAUAUUGCAUGAAUUUAUCCCUCCACAUCAUGUCAUCUUGCUUAAGGCAUUACUCGGUUUUUAACUUAAUACUCUAGAUGCAUGCUGGAUAGCGGUCGAUGAGUGGAGUAAUAGUAGUAGAUGCAGAAUCGUUUCGAUCUACUUGUCUCGGACGUGAUGCCUAUAUACAUGAUAAUACCUAGAUAUACUCAUAACUAUGCUCAAUUCUGUCAAUUGCUCAACAGUAAUUUGUUCACCCACCGUAGAAUACAUAUGCUCUUGAGAGAAGCCACUAGUGAAACCUAUGGCCCCCGGGUCUAUUCUCAUCAUAUCAAUCUCUAUCGCUUUAUUACUUGCUUUGUUACUUUUCACUUUGCAUCUAUCUAUCAAAAAUACCAAAAAUAUUAUUUAUCAUCUCUAUUAGAUCUCACUCUCGUAAGUGACCGUGAAGGGGUUGACAACCCCUAAUCGCGUUGGUUGCUAGUAGCUAUCGUCUUGUGUAGGUACGAGGGACUUGUGCGUGGUCUCCUACUGGAUUGAUACCUUGGUUCUCAAAAACUGAGGGAAAUACUUACGCUACUGAUACGUCUCCAACGUAUCUAUAAUUUUUGAUUGCUCCAUGCUACUUUAUCGACUGUUUUGGACUAUAUUGGGCUUUAUUUUUCACUUUUAUAUUACUUUUGGGACUAACCUAUUAACCGGAGGCCCAGCCCAGAAUUGCUGUUUUUUGCCUUUUUCAGUAUUUUGAAGAAACAGAAUAUCAAAUGGAGUCCAAAAGGAAUGAAACCUUCGGGAUCGUGAUUUUCCAACCGAACGUGAUCCAGGAGACUUGGACCCUACUCCAAGAAGCUUCCGAGGAGGUCACNNNNNNNNNNNNNNNNNNNNNNNNNNNNNNNNNNNNNNNNNNNNNNNNNNNNNNNNNNNNNNNNNNNNNNNNNNNNNNNNNNNNNNNNNNNNNNNNNNNNNNNNNNNNNNNNNNNNNNNNNNNNNNNNNNNNNNNNNNNNNNNNNNNNNNNNNNNNNNNNNNNNNNNNNNNNNNNNNNNNNNNNNNNNNNNNNNNNNNNNNNNNNNNNNCUACCUCGUCGGCCCCUCGGAGCUCCACCGACGUACUCCUUCCUCCUAUAUAUACCUACGUAUCCACGUAUGAUCAAAAGGGGAGCCAAAAACCUAAUUCUACCGCCGCAACCUUCUGUAUCCACGAGAUCCCAUCUUGGGGCCUGUUCCGGAGCUCCGCCAGAGGGGGCAUCCACCACGGAGGGCUUCUACAUCAUCACCAUAGCCCCUCUGAUGAAGUGUGAGUAGUUUAAUUCAGACCUUCGGGUCCAUAGCUAGUAGCUAGAUGGCUUCUUCUCUCUUUUUGGAUCUCAAUACAAUGUUCUUCCCCUCUCUUGUGGAGAUCUAUUCGAUGUAAUCUUAUUUUUGCGGUGUGUUUGUUGAGACCGAUGAAUUGUGGGUUUAUGAUCUAGUAUUAUCUAUGGAAAAUAUUUGAUUCUUUCUGAAUUCUUUUAUGUAUGAUUGAGUUAUCUUUGCAAGUCUCUUCGAAUUAUCCGUUUGGUCUGGCCAACUAGAUUGGUAGUUCUUGCAAUGGGAGAAGUGCAUGGCUUUGGGUUCAAUCUUGUGGUGUCCUUUCCCAGUGACAGAAAGAGUUGCAAGGCACGUAUUGUGUUGUUGCCAUCGAGGAUAACAAGAUGGUUUUUUUUAUCAUAUUGCAUGAAUUUAUCCCUCUACAUCAUGUCAUCUUGCUUAAGGCGUUACUCUGUUUUUAACUUAAUACUCUAGAUGCAUGCUAGAUAGCGGUCGAUGAGUGGAGUAAUAGUAGUAGAUGCAGAAUCGUUUCGAUCUACUUGUCAUGGACGUGAUGCCUAUAUACAUGAUCAUUGCCUAGAUAUACUCAUAACUAUGCUCGAUUCUGUCAAUUGCUCAACAGUAAUUUGUUCACCCACCGUAGAAUACUUAUGUUCUUGAGAGAAGCCACUAGUGAAACCUAUGGCCCCCGGGUCUAUUCUCAUCAUAUCAACCUAUAUCACUUUAUUUACUUGCUUUGUUUUUUACUUUGCCUUUACUUUUUACUUUGCAUCUAUCUAUCAAAAAUACCAAAAAUAUUAUCUCUAUCAGAUCUCACUCUCGUAAGUGACCGUGAAGGGAUUGACAACCCCUAAGCGUUGGUUGCGAGUUGCUAUCGUGUUGUGCAGGUACAAGGGACUUGCGCGUGACCUCCUACUAUAUUGAUACCUUGGUUCUCAAAAACUGAGGGAAAUACUUAUGCUACUGUGCUGCAUCAUCCUCUCCUCUUCGGGGAAAACCAAGGCAAGCUCGAGACGUAGCAGCUACUUUGCUGCAUCAUCCUCUCCUCUUUGGGGAAAUCCAACACAGUGCUCAAGAGGUAGCAACAACCACCACCAUAUACCACCAUAGUGUUAUGUCCAUGGCUUACGCUCAUGUAUUGCGUAAGAGUUGAAAAAGCUGAAGCGCGUUAAAAAGUAUGAAACAAUUUCUCAGCUCUUCAUCGGAGUUGUGCAUAAUGGGAGUAUUUUGUGUAAUAAAAAUGAAGCAUGGCCUAACCAUAUGAUUUUGUAGGGAUAAGCUUUCUUUGGCUAUGUUAUUUUGAUAGGACAUGAUUAUUUGUUAGUAUGCUUUGAAGCAUUAUUAUUUUUAUGUUUUAUAAGCUUUUAUUUUGAAUCAUUUGGAUCUGAACAUUCAUGCCACAAUAAAUAAAAUUACAUUGAGAAUUAUGCUAGGUAGCAUUCCACAUCAAAAAUUUCUUUUUAUCAUUUACCUACUCGAGGACGAGCAGGAAUUAAGCUUGGGGAUGCUUGAUACGUCUCCAACGUAUCUAUAAUUUUUGAUUGUUCCAUGCUAUUAUAUUACCCCUUUUGGAUGUUUAUGGGCUUUAUUUUACACAUUUAUAUCAUUUUUGGGACUAACCUACUAACUGGAGGCCCAACCCGUAUUGCUGUUUUUUUGCCUAUUUUAGUAUUUCAAAGAAAAGGAAUAUCAAACGGAAUCCAAACGGAAUGAAACCUUCGGGAGCGUGAUUUUUGGAACGAACGUGAUCCAGAGAGCUUGGAGUGCAAGUCAAGAAGCAGCCGAGGCCCCCACGAGAUAGGAGGCCGCGCCCCCCCUGUAGGGCGCGCCCCCUGUCUCGUGGGCCCAUCGGGCGGCCACCGACGUACUCCUUCCUCCUAUAUAUACCUACGUACCCUGAAAACAUCCACGGGCACCACGAAACACAAUUUCCAUUGCUGUAACCUUCUGUAUCCGCGAGAUCCCAUCUUGGAGCCUUCGUCGGCGCUCUGUCGGAGGGGGAAUCGACCACGGAGGGCUUCUACAUCAACAUCCUUGCCCCUCCGAUGAGUUGUGAGUAGUUUACCACAGACCUACGGGUCCAUAGUUAUUAGCUAGAUGGCUUCUUCUCUCUUUUUGGAUCUCAAUACAAUGCUCUCCCCCUCUGUUGUAGAGAUCUAUUCAAUGUAAACUCUUUUUGCGGUGUGUUUGUCGAGAUCCGAUGAAUUGUGGGUUUAUGAUCAAGUUUAUCUAUGAAUAAUAUUUGAAUCUUCUCUGAAUUCUUUUAUCUAUGAUUGAGUUAUCUUUGCAAGUCUCUUCGAAUUAUCAGUUUGGUUUGGCCUACUAGAUUGGUCUUUCUUGCCAUGGGAGAAGUGCUUAGCUUUGGGUUCAAUCUUGCGGUGUCCUUACCCAGUGACAGAAAGGGUUGCAAGGCACGUAUUGUAUUGUUGCCAUCGAGGAUAACAAGAUGGGGUUUAUAUCAUAUUGCAUGAGUUUAUCCCUCUACAUCAUGUCAUCUUGCUUAAUGCGUUAGUCUGUUCUUAUGAACUUAAUACUCUAGAUGCAUGCUGGAUAGCGGUCGAUGUGUGGAGUAAUAGUAGUAGAUGCAGGCAGGAGUCGAUCUACUUGUUAUGGACGUGAUGCCUAUAUACAUGAUCAUGCCUAGAUAAUCUCAUAACUAUGCGCUUUUCUAUCAAUUGCUUGACAGUAAUUUGUUCACCCGCCGUAAUACUUAUGCUAUCUUGAAAGAAGCCACUAGUGUAACCUAUGCCCCCCGGGUCUAUCUCUUAUCAUAUUUGCUUUGAAUCUACUUUUAUUUGCAUCUUUACUUUUUGCAUCUAUAUUAUAAAAUACCAAAAAUAUACUUAUCUUAUCAUAUUAUCUUUAUUAGAUCUCACUUUCGUAAGUGGCCGUGAAGGGAUUGACAACCCCUUUAUUGCGUUGGUUGCGAGUUCUCAGUUUGUUUGUGUAGGUGCGUGUGACUUUUGAGGAGCCUCCUACUGGAUUGAUACCUUGGUUCUCAAAACUGAGGGAAAUACUUACGCUACACUCGCUGCAUCACCCUCUCCUCUUCGAGGAAAAUCAACGCAAGCUCAAGACGUAACAGUUGGCAGCCUUGUCUGAGGUGCCGUGGAUCUCCUGAUUUUGAGUUGCUGAACCGGACAUUUACUGCCGUGUCAUCGGCUUUCCCGCUAUUGCGCCGGCGCUUGUUCUUGUUGUGUCGUGAUUUCCCAUUUCCGUCCCAGACCUCUGAGGUGACCGGGUCGUCCGGAUGGUUGCUUCUACGAGCUAACCAGUUGUCUUCGCCCGCGCAAAAGCGGGUCAUGAGAGAGGUGAGGGCCGACAUUGUUCUCGGCUUGUAUUGGCUGAGUUGGCGAGCGAGCCAUUCGUCCUGAAUGUUGUGCUUGAAAGCGGCUUAUUGCCUCAUCAUCCGGACAAUCAACGAUCUUGUUUUCUUGGUCAAGAACCGAUUCCAAAAUUGCCGGGCUGACUCCCAGGGCUGCUGAACAACAUGGCUCAAGUCAUCGGCAUCCAGAGGCCGAACAUAGGUGCCUUGAAAGUUAGCUCGGAAGGUGUCCGCGAGUUCUUCUCAGCUCCCAAUGGAGUUUUUGGGGAGGCUGUUUAACCACUGCCAUGCUGGUCCUUUAAGCUUUAGUGGCGAAUAUUUAAUGGCGUGGAGGUUGUCUCCUCGGGCCAUAUGAAUGUGGAGAAGGAAAUCUUCGAUCCACACGGCCGGGUCUGUUGUCCUAUCGUACUGCUUGAUGUUUACGGCUUUAAACCCCUCAGGGAACUGAUGUUGUAUCACCUCGUCUGUAAAACACAUUGGGUGUGUGGCGCCCCUGACCCGGGCCACGUCGUGCCGAAGAUCAGUUGUCAUCCUAGCACGAUGCUACUCCCGGGCUCUACCGUUUCUAUCGCGUCAGGCUUGGUAUCCAUCCUGUCCAGCGGGCGUGUGUCCUCUAGAGCCAUAAAUGGAUCCUGUUUGUGCCGCCUUGGCGGUUAAGUUGAGUCGUAGGUCAUAUGGAUCAUCUGGUUGUAUUUGCUCCUUGCCCUUCCGGCGAGGGAGCGGGGGUGGGUUUUCAGCUUCUCUAGACGGCCUAUCCCGUCCUCGAGGGGGCGGUCGGGCUGGUUUGUCUGAGUGCGUCUAGGGAGUAUGGGCUCAAGGGCCUCUUCUUCGAAUUGCGGGAGUAGACACUGUCGUGGGUAGCUUUUGUUUUGAUAUUGCCCCUAAUAGUCAAAGCCCUCUUCGGCUACUAAGACCCUUGUCCACCUAUCAUUGAGGGUAUCAUGUUCUGCUUUUAACUGCCGCUUCUUCUUCUUCAGGCUUCAGACAGUGGCUAUGAGCUGCCGCUUGAACCGCUCCUGAUCCAGAGGGUCCUCGGGGAUGAUGAAAUCCCUGGGUUCGAGGCUAUCCUCCUCUUUGGAAGGAUGGAUGUAGUUGAUGUCAUAGGAAUUGUUGGGGUUCUCGGGGUCGCCUGAUCCUCAUGGCCUUUAGGAGCGACGCCAUGCUGUUCGGUGUUGGUGUUAUCGCUGAGCUCCUCCAUGUUGUCUGGAGUAGCAUCAUCUCCGGUGCUGAUUGUGUGUGUGUGUUCAAGUUGUCUUCCCCGCCCCUUCCACGUCCCUUGGAUCGCCUGCAUUGGCGUUGGUGUUAGGAUGACUCCUUACCGGGGUCAUCGCCAUCCUCCUUGGGGGUGUCAACCAGGUAGACAUUGUAAGUGCAAGUGGCAGUCUACUUUCCCUUGUUGGGAGUGGUCGGGGAGGGAGCCGUAUGGGUCAUGACAUCGAUAUCCUUGUCCAUGCCAUCAACCUCCUCGGAGGUGUAGUCUACCAUGUCGGUUAAGUCGUCAACAGUGGCUACUAAGUGGGUGGUGGGUGGGACGUAAAAUUCCCCGUGUCUGGCUUCAAGUCUGACCUAAUCAUAGACCAAGGAUGGGCCAUCCAUGAUGCUUAUCAUCUGGAUCCGAUCUAGCGUCUCGUAUAAUAGCGAGAAGUCAGUCGGAUUCGUCUUCUGACGUCUUUUGGAGUUAACCCCUGCUAUGCCAGCAUAGGGGGUGCAUUCGGCCAGGGCUGACUCCUGGUCCUCGGAUGCUGAAACUAGAUCCGAGCUCAAAGCUAGAUCCGGGAUUGAGGCCGACCCAGAGAUGGGGUCGGGAAGAAGGUCCGAAGUUGAGGCUUCGGAAUUUCUGGGCCCUUUAGGUAAAGUUGAGAACCAAGUAAAGAUCAGAUCGCCCGAGAGUCGGCGACGUACUCCAGGUUGCCAAACCUGAUUUCCUGCUCAGGGGCGAAGCUGUCGACCUGGUCAAGAUGACCAGUCAGGUAGGCGUGUAGAACGAUGCUGCCAAACGUGAAGAGCUGGCCGAGGAUGAAAAUGUCCCUAGUGCGGAUGCCAUCGCCGAUGACUAAGCGGGUCGUUGAUCCUUUGGCGAUCCUACAACGGAACCCUCAAUGAAAGCAUUAAUGUUGGUGUCAAAACCGGCAAAUCUCGGUAGGGGUCCCGAGCUGUAGAUCUUGGAUAGAUGGGUAACAAGGAGCGUAGAGACAGCGUUUACCCAGGUUUGGGCCCUCUCGAAGAAGUAAAACCAUACGUCCUGCUUAAUUGUAUUGAUGUGUUUGUAUGACAAUUACAUAGUUGAUGUACCACGAGAUCAGAUGAACUAAACCCUAGGUGGGUAUGAUGAUGAUGGUUCUCUCAUCUACUAGCUAAACCCUCUAGCUUAUAUAGACACCAGGGGUACCUAGGUUUACAUAUGUUGGUCACCAUCAAGGGAUAAACAUGCCGAUCACGCUAAACCAGGCUUGGAGGAUACGCCAAGUCUUCAGAGGUUUCCUUCUAGAGCAUGGAGUCGCCUAUAGUCCGACCUUCCAAUGAUGGAUCAAGAGCGGCCCACCUGUCCGACCCAUGAGAGAUAGGCUGACAGCCCAAGGACCCCUUAGUCGGGGACACCCUCAAUCACAGUGAUUGAUCUACAACAACCGUACAUGGAUGACAAAUAAGCAUGGAGAUGGGGAUGGUGUGAUGAAGAUGCUCCCAGUGAUGCCUUGAUGUUGGUGGUGGUGGUGAUGAUGAUGAUGGCGGCGAAUUCCCUCGGCCCAAGGUGCCGAAUAAGAACAAUAAGCUCUUCUGGAGAGAAACCAGGGCUCCAUGGCGGCGUCUGCGUCAAAAAAUAAUGUAAAAAGAUGACAUGUCUUUGAAGGAUGAAAGGGUGCUUCCCUCAAAAGUAGAACAUGAUGCGGAUCUGGUGGCCCCCCAUGGCCUUGCGACAUGAUCCCUUCUUAGGCCACGAGGGUCCCCUGGGCCUCCCCUACGUGAGUCCCUCAAACUCCCGAAUCAUUUUCCUUCAUCUAUCAAUGAUGUAUUUUCAUUGGAUUUCUCCUCGAGCCUAGGAGCGUCAUUUUCUACCCAUUUUCUCCAUUUUCGGCAAUCGGUGUUUUGUUAUCCUCCAGAUGGAAAUAUGAAAAUGCAAUGGAAAUAAUGAUAAAUUUUAGCAAAGAUGAUUGAUGUGCAUAAUAAAUUAGCAAUUCAUCUUAUGAAAAUUAUGAUGCAAAAAGAACAUAUCUUGAGCAUUCGGAUCCUUCUCCCUUGAUAGAAUAUCAUAUCUUUGCAAACUAUGAACCGCCUCAAGACACCUCGUGGCAAUUUUGAUAUAGAGAUGACCUGCUAAUGCCAAUGCCUUGCAACGUGCCAGGGCUACGAGUGUCACCGGAUCCAAGUUAUGCGGGAGCUCCCAUCUCAGAUAUGACACCAUGCACAUUGGUCUUCAUGACACCACACCUGCUUUGAAACUACCCUCGCGUCCCGACUCUACCUGCUUAAUCUCCUUUUAGCUCGUCCAAAAAUUGGUUACGAAGUAAUGGAUCGGUAAAGAACUCUGAAGAGCCCCCUCGUAGAUGUCCUUGCGCCAUCCAGAUCACCCCAUGUAGCGUUUAUGAACUUCUCUAAUCUUAGUGUGCUCCAUCAUCACAUGAAUUCGCUGUCUCGUAUCAGGUUAUGAGCUCAAGCUCAUAUCUCAAGUGAGCUCCGCAUCAGCAAUAGCCUAGAACGUCAUGCAUGCAUCCAUGGUGUGUAGCACUGUAUCGAUGAAUCACCGUCAUGGAUCAACCGCACCAUCCUAAGUGACUCAUAAGGCCUAGCAUGUGGAGAAGGUGGCACUAGGACGAAGUCGACGUUUGCACUCAGCGGUGAGGACCAAGUGUUCUUUUACACUUUGACAACCUAAGUUUGCAAGUUGUAUUGUUUUUUUCUUUUUUAUUGGACAAUCCUGGUAAGGAGUCAGUGGGAUUUUCUAUUCUACGCAUGGGUUGCUGGAUAGCGACCACACACAAACCCUCCUAGGCGUUUGUAGACUGUCCCACUAUUCUUUCUCCCAUCAGUGUUGGGAAGGUUUGUUUCUAGAAUUCGGCGGGUGAAAAUUUCUUUUCCUAAUUUUUCUUUGAUGAUUUUACAAGUUUUCUCCCAUUUUUUAUUUUCCUUCUUUUUUAUUUAAAAAAUCAUGAAUAAUUUUUGAAAAUCAUUCAUGAACAUUUUUUAAUUUGCGAUAUUUUUUUGAUUUAAAAUAUUGUUUUUAAAUCAUGUCUUAUUAACUCGCGAAUAUUUUUGAAAUUUGGUAACAUUAUUUUGAAUUCCUGAACAUUUUUCAUAUCCUAGUUUUUUUUGUAUACAUGAACAUAUUUUAAAUUCAUGAACGCCUUGAAAGAUUUAUGAACAUUUAUUGGAAACACAUGAAAUUUUUUGAAGUUCAGAAAACAACUAAUCGUAAAUAUUUUUAAGUCACAAACAUAUUCUAAAAUUCGAUUUUUUGGGGCUUUAAACAUAUUUAAAAAUAAAAAACAUUUAAAAAAUCAAAAUAUUAUUUUGUAAGAAUUCAUGAAUUUUUUUGAAACCCACAAAAAUAUCUUUUUUUUGCAACGUAUUUUAACAUAAACCUUUGGAAAUAACCAAAUCCAGCCAAAAAAUUGUCUCAAGAAAAAUCCAGCCAAAAAAAAACGCUGGCAAAACGCUACGUAGUAUAGAUUUGUUUUCUUUCGAGAAUACUACCAACAAGCUAGUGGAAAGAAUUUUCCUCAAAAAAAAAGCUAGUGGAAAGAAAGAAAGAAGAGAUGGGGCCCAGCCCAGCCUAGACCACAACGGAAGAGGCCGGUCCGGAGACGGAACUCGAGUCCGACCCGAGGCGACUCCUGGGCUUGGUUAGGGUUCGCAGAUAUAUACGCCAGCCGCCGCCACCUCUUUCCCCACCUUCGUUUCAGAUCCAGCGAGAGAGAGACGGCGAAAUCCCCAAUCCACCAAACCCUAACCCACCAGGAGAGAUCGGCGAGAGAGAUCCAGCGAUGGCCGGUGAGAAGGUGCAGUUUGCCAUCCCCAUGGCCGCCGGCGAGAAGGAGCAGGCCAAGGUGGAGAAGGAGGCGGCGCUCAAGGCCAAGGCGGGGUGCGGUUCCAAGAGGAAGGCGGAGGAGGACCGCGAGGAGGCGCCGGCGGCUGUUGGUGUGAAGGUGCAAUGGAACGGCGAGGAUGAGUCGGAGGACGAGCUCUACAAGGCGUGCAUGGCGGAGGACUCGUUCGACUACGACUCGGACGAUAGCCUGGAUGUGUACGCCGCCAAGUACAAGGCGUUGUUCGAGCGCUUCAUAGAGGCCUGCGACGCUCGCUGCCCUUGGUUGGUGGGCAAGAGCAAGGUGGCGAAUGCUGAUGCUGAUGAGUCUCUUUUGGUGUGAGAAGCUGAUUCAUUGCUCUUGUGAUUCUACCAGCAUAGAGAUGAAGGAGGUUCAGUUCAUGCUAUCUACCAACCAUGUAUCUACCUAUAUUUCUACUAGUUGUUCAUGUGGUAAUCGUCUGUGUUAUUGAUCCAUCUACCCCUGUCAUGUUAUUGUUACCAAGUUAGGCGCGGAUGAACCAGUGGCCUGCGUGCAACUGAUAAUCUAGUAACUCUGUGUUAUCUACUAGUAAUGUUAUUGUCAUCUCCUGAACCAAGUAUGCUAUUCGUCUGCGAUAUGUGAUUGUCUCUGAUGUAAUGUCUGGUUGUCUCUGCCUGCUCGUUGGAUUAUUUUAGCAGCACAAUUCCAUUUUCUCCUUUCAUUUCACUUGAUGCCACAACUAUUCUUCUUCAUGUGCUGCGAAAAGUUGGCCAUGGCAAAUGCCAAUUUGUCAG